AUAUAUAUAAAUAUCUAACAAAUUCGUCAUCAAUCAAGGACUUUGUAAACAAUUAUUGACAUUUAAUACACAAAGAGUGGCAUUUGAUGAUGAAAAUAUAUAGCAAAAGCCCACAAAUUCAUACCGUAGCAAAAUACACAAACAAGCAAACAAGGAAAAGAGGAUUUCAAACCGUUCCAAUUGAACCGGCUACUCCGGUCCAAUUCAUAAUAACAUAGAUUCAUACAUCGUAAAUUCGUAAUCCAUUUUUGAUCAAACAACAUUACCAGAAAAUCAUAGCUGACUUUUAGCAAAGUUCAUCACCAGGAUGAGCUCUAAGAUUCCAGAAAUAGCCUUUGGGAUCGUUCUCAAAUACACUUCUCGCCAUUCUUAUAUUUCUCCCUGGCGCUUUCAUCGUCCUCACUCUUCCACCGCCGCGGCCCCUACAGCAGCCGCAGCAGCAGCGGCAGAAACAGAUGAACAAGAUCAAUGUAGCCGCAAUAACGAGGAACAGGGUGGCGACAUGGAGCCAGUGGUGGAUCUCAUCGCCUCUUGUCUCCGGUGGAAACACCUUGUCAAACCAAUCCACGACCUCGCCACCAAAAUUUUCAAUUGCCUGUAGUAAUUCCUUCAACUUUUCGAAAAUGAAAUUUAUCACUUCAUUCACACCCAUCUCUGUAGGUUGUAGUGUGUGUCGAGGUGCUUUUGAUGCUCUGGAUAGAAAAGAAUUGCUAAUUAAAUGCAAUUAGGGUUAUGAUUUUUAUAAAAAUUUGGUAUUUCCAAAAGAUGCCCAAAUUUUGGGACCCAUGUAGAGCAUUGAUGAAUACAUUUCUUCUCCACAAAGGAAGAGCGUUAUUUCUUUGUCAAGCUACAUAAAUUGCAAUUUUUGAGUUUGUUGAAAUUUCUUGUAAGGUCCGUUACUUGGUUCUAAUGGUAGCAAAAUGCACCCCUUCGGGCCAACAUUUGGAUCAAGUGAUUAAAUUGAAACAAAAAUGUUUUUUACUAACAAAAUUGAGACAUUUUUCUUACCCUUGAAUAUAAUGUUGGCGAGUUUAAAGUUAAUUUUUUUUUUCCGUAAAAUCUUCCCAAUUUAAAUAAAGAGUAUACUUUUAAAUUCUCUUCAUUUAGAGAUUUUCUUUAAAAUAAAUAAAUAAAUGAGGAGGAUUACUAAAGGUGCUAGCAUGCCUACUUUUGAGUCAACCUAAAUUAUUUAACAUUUUGCUUUCAUCAUUUAGCCCCAAUUUGUUUAAGAUUAACAAAAAUAAAAAUAAAACAAAAAAUUUAAUAGAUUUUGAUAAAAGUUGAUAAAAUGUGUAAUUAAAAAAUUGUGGAUUCCAUAAAAUAUGUUAUUAAAAUUAAUUGUUGAUCAUGACUUAGAUUAUAAUUUAGAUAUUUAACUGAACCAAAAAGAGGGCUUAAAUCGUUACAUUGCCUAAAUUGAAAUUAAACACUAAUAAUUAUAUAUAGCAUUACUUAUAUUAAAAUCUAGACAAGGUUAGAGUAAUUGACUAGGCACGACCUACAUAACUUGGUAGUCUACCAUUGAAAAUGAAUAAUGCUAUAUAUCACUCGAGAUUAUUCAGAUUCAUACCCUAUCCAGUACAUAGACGGAUUUAGUCCUGGGCUAGCCCAGACCAAUCAGGCCCAAACCCCUUUUUCCUAAGAAAAAAUGUGUUAAAAAAGAAAAUUUAUGUGAUUUUUUUAUUAUUUUUAUUUUUAUUUAUAUUUUUUUUAGUGCUUCCUUGACUUCGCUCCUACCCAAGUACAUGGUUCCAAUGAAAGUGUUUCUAGUUUUGACUGCGUAUUUAAUAUACCAUUUUUCCUAGUAAAAAUGCCUUUUGUUUUGGUAAAUUGGUCAUUGGAAAUAUGAGUAUAAGAUGGACCGUCAAAAACAUCUUGGACGAAUUACGUUCACAGUUUUAAAGGUGUUAAUUUAUUCUAGUGAAACUAUUUUUAUUUAGAGAAAAUUAAAGAAGCAUUUUUUUUUUUCAAAAUUGAAGAAAUAAUAUAACAUGUUGCCAGAAAACUAUAAAUUCUUUACACCUAUAGCAGCCGAGUAAGGAAUAUAUUUUCAUUUAGGGAUGGCAACAGGUCGGGACGGGUAUGGAACGGGUCGGCCAUUCAUACCCCCGUUCUGUCGGGUAUUUUUGUUAUCUUAUCUCAUACCCAUACCCGGUUAAAGCGGGACGGGACAGGGCGGGUUCGGUGCAGGAUCGGGGCGGGGCGGGGCAAGUCUCCUGCCCCAUUUAUCGCCUCAUUUAUUUUUUCUUUUUCUUUUUCUUUUAUUUUUGCUUUUAUUUUUUAUCUCCUUAGUUAGUAAAUAUUGUUACUUUUUUACCAAUUUGUUAAAAACAACUUAUGUUUUCUUUAAAAAUGAUGAUAAAUCUAUUAUUUUUGUUUGAUAAAAACUUAAAUUUGAAAUUAAUAUUAAACGGGGGCGGGACUAUGUUUCCCGUACCCGUCUCAUACCCGCUUCGGAACAAUGACCCUCGCUCCAUACCCAUCACGUGUACUUGAUUAGGCGGGUAUUACACGCUCCAUUCGGGGCGGGACCCCAUGGGUAUCGAGUUGAACGGGUUUUUUUACCAUCCCUAUUUCCAUUCAAUCAAGACCACAAUUUAUCAUAUAUUGUGGAGUCAAAAAAAUUAAAAAGCUACAGAAAUAUUUCUAAUUAUAUUAAUAUUUUACCUACUUAAAAACUAAAAUAACUGUUAUGAGUUUAAUUGUGAUUUUCUUAUAAGAAAAAUAUAAUUUUUUUGAAUUUUUUGUACGUAGUAAUGUUAUAUGGGAUGAUGAUCAAAUUUUUACUAAAUUGCAGGAAUCAACAAAUGUUAUAUUUUAAAAUUAUUUUUUAUAUUAUAAAAUAAUUAUAGAAUAUAAGAAUAUACUGAAAUAAUCUCUAAAAUCCCAAUUUAAACAUUGUCAAGUUGUUAAGAAGAAAUCUUUUUCUUAAAUGAGUAUUAUAGUUUGAAAAAACUAGAUUAUAAAUGUAUGACAAAUUAAAAUUCAGUACUUCUAAAGUAGAAAUAAUUAAAUAUCUUAAGACUAAGCUAUUUUUUAUGCUAUUUAUCAUCAUCAUGAAUUAUUUUUUAACUUGAAGAAACUACAUGUUUUCUCUUGCAUUUUGGUCACAACGCAAUAAUAUUUUUCAAAAUUAACUUUAUUAUUUAAAGAAAGAAGAGCAAUAUUAAUCAAAAUGUUGACUAUAUAAAGGACAAAUUACAUUGUAUAUUUUUCUUCAAUUCUAACUUUGUUAUGUUUUUGUAAGAACAAUAAGAGGAAUUUAUUUUAGCUAAACAUUGCAUAAAGGUACAAAUAUAAAAAAUAUAUAUAUAGAAAUAAAAAUUCUUUGUAAACAGUCGAUUCCAUGAUUAAAAGUUCAUUCCAUAUUUCUUUUAACAAAUGAUAAAAUCAAAAUAGAAGUAAUAUUUUUUAAAUCCUUUUAUAUGCAAUACAAAUAUAUAGAAGCUAAAGCAGAAUGUACAUUUUCUUAAUUUUUCAUUUUUGAUUGGAAAACAAACCCUAGAGGAGGUUUAUGUAGUUAAAAGGUAAAGGGUGUUUCUAAUAAUAGUCAAAUGCUUUAGGGGUGUCAUCGAUAUUAAGUUUAUAAAUAAACCAAUUUCACUGCCUAUAAAUUUAUCCAAUCCCCACCUGGGUGAAGAACAUAAGAGCAAGAAAUACUAAAAAAUUAAAAUUAAAAAUAAUAAAAUAAUAAUAAUUAUUGUUAUAAUAAUAAUAAGUAUGAGCUCCGAUGGAAACUCUGGAGGUUCUGGGCGACCAAAUAAAGGAACAUCUUUCAUGGCUACAGUAGCAACAGUGUUUGGAGUGGUGGCUCUGGCGCGUGAGUUAUGGAAUCUAGCCAGCCCGACAGAAGAGCCACCAACGGAGGAGAUGAUGAAAGCACCAGGAAAAAUAGAUACAUAUAUUCCUAGAAAAGACUUUGAGGAUAACUGUUGGGCUGUGAUGCCAAGGUCCUGUCCGACAUAGGCUUUGAUGAUAAAAAAAAAAAAAAAAAAAAAAGGCCCAAUAUGGAAUGAGAUGGCCCACUUAACCAAGCCCAAUAAUUCAGUCCACUCUUAGUUGCUCUGGAGCCGUUGGAUUAACCUACUGAUCAAUGGCUGGUGGUUUUAACUAUAAAUAAGACCCUUUUCUUUGACCUAGAGAUUGAAUCGUCAUUUUUUUCUCUUUUUGUGAGUCGUCUAUUUCUGGAAUCUUCAAGGACUUUCUGUCUCUGUGAUUUUUUCAUCUUCUUUGAUGGAAACUCUGGAGUUUCUGGUUGACAAAAUAAAGGAACAUCUUUCAAGGCUACGGUAGCAAUAGCGUUCGAAGUGGUGGCUUUGGCUCGUGAGUUAUGGAAUCUAGCCAUCCCGGUAGAAGAGCCACCAACGGAGAAGAUGAUGAAAGCACCAGGAAAAAUAGAUACAUAUAUUCCUAGAAAAGACUUUGAGUGUAACUGUUGGGUUGUGAUGCCAAGGUCCUGUCCAACAUAAGCUUUGAUGAUAAAAAAGAAAAAAGAAAAAAAAGGCCCAAUAUAGAAUGAGAUGGCCCACUUAACCAAGCCCAAUAAUUCAUUCCACUCUUAGUCGCUCUGGAGCCGUUGGAUUAACCCACUAAUCAAGUGCUGAUGGUUUUAACUAUAAAUAAGACCCUUUUCUUUGACCUAGAGAUUGAAUCGUCAUUUUUCUUCUCUUUCUGUGAGUCGUCUCUUUCUGGAAUCUUCAAGGGCUUUCUGUCUCUGUGAUUUUUUCAUCUUCUCUUUGUAAGAUUAUCUAGUGAUAUCUUUGUGAUAAUCGAGUCCUUGGUCUGAGAACUCUCUGUGUAAGUAAACUGUUGUGAAGUGGUCUGUCCAUUUUCAUGUUCCAUUGUAAGGACUUUGAAGUUGGGAUUGUGAGGGUCUAUUGUUCAGUUCAGUGCCUCUGUGAUGUUCCUUAGAGGUUUAUGGUCUGAGCCUAUGAAAGAUCAAAACUAGAUGCAGUGGUUUUAGAUUUUUCUGUAAAGUUCUCUAUUAUAUUUGUUGUACAGUUUGGAUCUUGAAUUAAUGAUAACCUUGUUGCCUAUUUUCGCAACCUUCGUCGCUGAGGUCAGAUAUUAAUACUAUAGUACUGUAAGUUGAAAUCCAUUGCCAUGGUAAUUGGGACAGAUUCAACUGUCGUGUUUAAUUUGCUGUUAUGCGUGUUUUAGUAGUAUCAAUUAAUAUGGAAAUAGGGUGUCUGUCUCUAAUCUUCAACUCUAGAGCCGUUUAGAGAGGUCGAAUGUUGGAUUGUGAUCUAUGUGCUAAUAUUUUUACCGUUUAGAGAGGUCGAAUGUUGGAUUGUGAUCUAUGUGCUAAUAUUUUUAGUUCUAUGUAAUAAAAUGAUGUUUGUUAAUUUAUGAGUAUCUAUCUUUAACGACGACAUGUUUGAUGUCGCGUAUACAAGGUUAAAGGUUUCGGUGAAUUUAUUAGAAGGGCCUUUGUUUUACCAAUCAAAGUAAAAAUUAAGAAGUCGUAAAAGUUUAAGAAUUGUUAAAUUGAAAUUUGAGUUAUCAUAACAAGGACGGAGCUAGAAAGAUAUAUUAAGAUGAGCUGAAAUUUAAUUUCUUUUCAAUGAACUCAUAUUAUAAAAGAUGUUCUAUGCCACACGAGAUUUAGUGCUUAUUUGGUACAGAUUUUAAGUAAAUUAAAAUUAAUUUUUUUAUCAUUAUUUCACUAUUCCAAUUAUCAUUUUUUAAUUCUUUUUUCACAGGUGGAACCCACUUUAUCUCUAACGGUCAAAAAAUCAAUUAUCAAAAUUCCUAUCAAACAAGUACUUAGUUUAAAGGGUUAAACUCGUGUUCGUGACAAAGUGGGCCAGUAUAUUUUUGGACACUCAUGACAAAAGUUAUAACAAAUAUAUUUUAAACUAAUAAAAUUAAGUAUAGAGCAAAUUACUUAUUUUGAUAAUUACAUCCAUUUCAUGGUUGAAAUAAAUCAAUUUUUAACUUAUAAGUAUAAAUUAAUAAUAUAUGAAAAAAUGUAUCGAAAAAAUUUGAUUACUUUUAAGCUUAGUCAAACAUGUGACAUUAAUCGAUACAAAUUAUUUGUUGCAUAAUAAACUAAUUUGAUUAUAUGUGAACUCUUUAAACUUAGUUUUUUAUAUAUAUGAAUGAAAUAAAAUACUUAAUUUAAUAACGAGUUAUUUGUGCAUCAUGAAUGUGAAUAAAAUAAAUAUGUAAAUGUUGCAAAGUCUUAAACAAAAUUUGAAUAAUUCAACAUUGAGUUUGGGUUGUGAAUGAAGUUAGUUGGGUUAAAAUUAAUUUUUGAAUUGGGUUAAAAUUAAUUUUUGAAUUAGACUAAAUUUUUAUUUUUUUUCAUUUCACCAUGAAUGUAGUCUAAAUUUUACAUUUUUAAGCCAAUUUGCUUCAAGGCUAGAACAGGGCUAGCCUAUAGCCCCCCUCUCCAUCUGCCUUUGUAUUGUAAUACAUGGAUCUUACAAAAUACGUAGAUAGUAGUUGUUUGUUUUACAAAACAUUCGGAUAAAAAGUAUGUUGAAUUAAUUAGAAUUAUAUUUUAAACUUUGUCUAACAUUACAAAAAAUUUCAUCGUGGAGCAAGGGUGACAAUGUAGAAGAAGAGUGGAAAGAUUUUUUUUUCCGGACAAUUUUGGAGGAGGUUUUCUGUUCAACUUCGUAUUUCUUAGACAGGUUUUUAAAAAAUAAGUAAAUAUAGGUGAUAAAUUUGCUCAUAUUUAAUGAUUUACCGUCGUGGUGUGUCUAUUUAGCCUUUGUUUUGGUAACUGUUCUUUCUUGUUUUGGUAACUGUUCUUUCUUAACUCUCUCUUUUUUUAAUACUCAUUUAGAUUGUAGUAAAAUACUUUUUACGCAAAUCAAAACUAUUCCCUACUUUUUAUCACAAAUUAUUCAAAAAAUUACUAUUCAAAAACUCAUUUUUUACCCAAAAAAAUAAAUAAAAAAAUGGAAUGUCAAACGGGGACUUAUUAACUUGUCAAUGCCAUACCUCACAUUCUCACCUCAAAUGAAAUUAACACAAUUUAGUAUGACCUUGUUUGAGUCCCAUUUUUCAAUCAAAAUAGAUUUUUCAAUGGUGAUUUGACAUCAUUUCAACUACACAUUUUUCAAUAAAAUAAUAUUAUACGCAAAUCAAAAAUUUUUCCUUAUUUUUUAACCACACAUUUUCCAUCAAUACACUAUUUAAAAAUUCAUUUUCUUCACAAAAAUGGGGCUCAAACAAGGGCAAUAUCAUAUUAAGGCCAAUUUUGCUGGUCGGCAUCUCAUUUUGUGUUAUUUCGAAUUGAGCUCAUUUAGGUGUAGGUAAAAAUCUGAUUUUUAAUUAAAAAAAAAAAAGUUAAUGAAAUAUGUGGUUAAGAAGUUAUAGGUCUUAGAAAAUGUAUAGUUAAAAUUAGUCAUUCAUUUUGAUUUGAUAUUUUUAUUUAGACCAAACAGAGACUUAAUAUGAAUCCUGUGAAUAUUAUAGCCCUUAUUUCAUCAAUAAUUUAAUCAUAUAAAAAUACAUUGAUUACAAAAGAUUAUUUCACUUCCAAACAGUUUAAAUUAAGAAUAAUAUUAUUCAUCUAAAUUCUAAAUAAUCAUUAGUAUGCGUGACUAUGAAAAUCAAUUUUAGGUGAUAGUCGGUCCAUUAAUGCAAUGAAAAAUGAAUCAGGCAAGCCGAUAAUAUUAUUAUUAUUAUUUUUUUUUUUUUUUUUUUUUUUUGGGAAUUCACUCACAUUUCAUGCUGGGUCCUAGAGAGAUACAUCUAUUGGAUCCGUACAGCAUAAAGGGUACAAACUAAUAAAUUGCUUUAUUCUCUUUCUUUAUCUCAAAGCUUGCAAAAAGUUUGUACGAGGACAGUGACUAGAUUAACGUCGGAAUUUAGUGCAUGUUUGAUUUGAAUUAAAUUUUAAUUUUAAUUUAAGUUAAACUCAAAUAAUCAAUAUUAAUAAUAUCUUUCAUGGAUCCCACAAUAUUUCAAUCAUAUAUUUCAAAAACUUCUAUCACAAUCUACUAAAAAAUCUAAUAUUAAUCAUCACCGUACACCCUCUUAAAUUGUCGUUAUUAUCUAUUGAAAAUCUCUUUUGUAGGCCACAUUUUAGCAGUGCUUGGAGAUUUCUUAACAGCAAAGGGAGCACUAGAGGAAGUCUACGUUGUGAGUCAAGUCUUCGUAGAUUAUUAAGUCUUGUUUGGGCUUCAUUAAUUUUAAAGUGUAUUUUUUAAACUCAUUUUUAAUCACUCAUUCUUUCAUAAAAUAAUAUUAAAAAUAAAUCCAAAACCUUAUAACCACAAAUUCUUCAAAAAGUCACUAUUCGAAAUAUAUUUUCUCUCAAAAUCACAUUAAAAUAAAACUCAAACAGUCUUCAAUUGCCAAUAGUAAUUCCUUCAACUUUUCUACAAUGCAGCUUCAUUCACACCCAUCUCUUUAGGUUGUAGUGUUUGUCGAGGUGCUUUUGAUGCUUUGGAGAGAAAAGAAUCACUAAUUAAGCCCCCGUUUGGCCCCAUUCUUUUCAAAUUUGACUAAAAUUUCACAUGAGUUUUGUUUAUUAGAGCUUUUCCAAUCAAAUUUUAUUAAAAUUUUACCUGGGUUUCAUUCAUGGGCUUGUAUCAAAUCAAAUUUGACUAAAAUUUCACAUGGGUUUGGUUCAUUGGCACGAUUCCAAUCAAAUUUGACUAAAAUUUCAAAAAGAUUUAGUUAAUUGGCGUGUUUCUAAUCACAUUUGACUAAAAUUUCACCAGAGUUUGGUUUGUUAGUGCGUUUCCAUUCAAAUUUGACUAGAACUUCAUCUUAAUUUUGUUCGUUAGCGCGUUUUCAAUCAAAUUUAACUAAAAUUUCAGUUGUAUUUUGUUCAUUGUUGCGUUUACAUUCAAAUUUAACUAAAAUUUCACAUGACAUUGGUUCAGUAGCACAUUUCAAAUCAAAUUUCACUAUAAUUUCAUGCAAAAAUUUUCACAUUAUUUUUGUUCAUGGGAGCGUUUCCAAUCAAAUUUUACUAAAUUUUCACUUGGGUUUCGUUCAUGGGCUUGUAUCAAAUCAAAUUUGACUAAAAUUUCACAUGAAUUUGGUUUAUUGUCGCGAUUCCAAUCAAAUUUGACUAAAAUUUCACCGAAAUUCACACUUUACCAACCAAAAUUCGUUGAUAAAAUAUUUACUCUUUACCUACGACAGGAUCCGUUGGUAACUAUCAGCGACCCUCAAAUUAGCAACGAAUUUGCGGUUGCAAAUAUUCCAUUGAUAAAGAGUAAUAGCAACGUAUAUUGAGAUUUCAAGAACGAAAAAUCUGUGUCUGAAACAAUGUUUUUUUAGUAGUGUUAGUAAAUCAUAUCAUAUUAAGGCCAAUUUUGUUGGUCGGCAUCUCAUUUUGUGUUAUUUCAAAUUGAGCUCAUUUAGGUGUAGGUAAAAUCUGAUUUUCAAUAAAAAGUUAAUGAAAUGUGUAGUUAAAAAGUUAUAAGUCUUAGAAAAUGUAUAGUUAAAAUUAAUUAUUUAUUUUGAUUUGAUAUUUUCAUCUAGACCAAACAGAGACUUAAUAUGAAUCCUGUGAAUAUUAUAACCCUUAUUUCAUCAAUAAUUUAAUCAUAUAAAAAUACAUUGAUUACAAAAGAUUAUUUCACUUCCAAACAGUUUUAAUUAAGAAUAAAUUAUUCAUCUAAAUUCUAAAUAAUCAUUAGUAUGCGUGACUAUGAAAAUCAAUUUUAGAAAAUUCAAUUUUAGGUGAUAGUCGGUCCAUUAAUGCAAUGAAAAAUGAAUCAGGCAAGCCGAUAACAUAAAUUUUUUUUUUUUUUUUUGUUUCUUUGUUUUUUUGUGGGAAUUCACUCACAUUUCAUGCUAGGUCCUAUAGAGAUUCAUCUAUUGAAUCCGUACAGCAUAAAGGGCACAAACUAAUAAAUUGAUUUAUUCUCUUUCUUUAUCUCAAAGCUUGUAGAAAGUUUGUAUGAGGACGUUGACUCAGACAAACGUCGGAAUUUAGUGGAUGUUUGAUUUGAAUUAAACUUUAAUUUUAAAUUCAAUAUUAAUAAUAUCUUUCAUGGAUCCCACAACAUUUCAACAACAUAUUUCAAAAACUUCUAUCACAAACUACUAAAAAAAUCUAAUAUACCCCACCGUACACCCUCUUAAAUUGUCGUAUUAUCUAUUGAAAAUCUCUUUUGUAGGCCACAUUUUAGCAGUGUUUGGAGAUUUCUUAACAGCGAAGGGAGCACUAGAAGAAGUCUACGUUGUGAGUCAACUCUCCGUAGAUCAUUAAGUCUUGUUUGGGCUCCAUUAAUUUUAAAAUGUAUUUUUUAAACUCAUUUUUAAUCACUCAUUCUUUCAUAAAAUAAUAUUAAAAAGAAAUCCAAAACCUUUCAUCUUAUAACCACAAAUUCUUCAGAAAAUCACCAUUCGAAAUAUAUUUUCUCUCAAAAUCACAUUAAAAUGAAACCUAAACAGUCUUCAAUUGCCAAUAAUAAUUCCUUCAACUUUUCUACAAUGCAGUUCAUCACUUCAUUCACACCCAUCUCUUUAGGUUGUAGUGUUUGUCGAGGUGGUUUUAAUGCUUUGGAGAGAAAAGAAUUGCUAAUUAAGCUCCCGUUUGGCCCUCAUUCUUGUCAAAUUUUAAUGGUUGGAAUAGUAUUUUUUUGAAUAAUGUGUGGUUGAAAAAGAAUGAAAAGUUUUUUAUUUGUGUGUAAUAAUAUUUUAUAGAAAAUUGUGUGAUUGAAAAUGAGAGAGAGAGAGAGAGAGAGAGAGAGAGAGAAAUGAGAAUGAGAAUGGAGGGCCAAACGAGGGCUAAAUGCAAUUAGGGUUAUGAUUUUUAUAAAAAUCUGGUAUUUCCAAAAGAUGGUCAAAUUUUGGGACCCAUCUAGAGCAUUGUUGAAUACAUUUCUUCUCCUCAAAGGAAGAGCGUUAUUUCUUGGUCAAGCUACAUAAAUUGCAAUUAUUGAGUUAGUUGAAAUUUCUUGCUAGCUUCAUCACUUGGUUGUAGUGCUACCAAAAUGCACCCCUCCAGGCCAACAUUUGGAUCGAGGGAUUAAAUUGAAACAAAAAUGUCAGUUACAAAUAAAAUUGAGACAUUUUUCUUACCCUUAAAUAUAAUGUUGGCGAGUUUAAAGUUAAUAUUUAUUAUUAUUAUUAUUAUUAUUAUUAUUAUUAUUAUUAUUUUGUAAAAUCUUCCCUAUUUAAAUAAAGAUUAUACCUUUAAAUUCUCUUCAUUUAGAGAUUUUCAAAUUUUUUUUAUAAAAGAAAAAAAAAAGGGGGGGAUUACUAGAGGUGCACAGCAUGUCUACUUUGGAGUCAACCUAAAUUAUAUAACAUUUUGCUUUCAUCAUUUAGCCCCAAUUUGUUUAACAAUAAUAAUAAAAAAACAAAAAUUUUAGUAGAUUUUGAUAAAAGUUGAUAAAAUAUAUGAUUAAAAAAAUGUUGAUCCUAUAAAAUAUGUGAUUAAAAUUAAUUGUUGAUUGUGACUUGGAUUAUAAUUUAGAUUUUUAACAUAACCAAGGGGGCUUAAAUCAUUACAUCGCGUAAAUUAGUAUUAAAGACUAAUAAUUAUAUAUAACAUUAUUUAUAUUAAAAUCUAGACUAGAUUAAAGUAAUUGACUAGGCACAACCUACAUAACUUGGGAGUCUACCAUUAAAAAUGAAUAAUGCUAUAUAUCACUCGAGAUGACUCAGAUUCAUACCCUAUCAAGUACCACAUCACACGAAAAUGAUCUCAAGAAGGACAUGUUAGCAUGAUUUUGGUUGAAGAGUCACAUUGAAAUGUGAGAUACCAAGUGCUAACAAAUUCUUAUCAUAGAAAGUGGAAAUUACACCGAACCACAUAUUUGAAGAUCCAAUUUCAAAAAUCAAGUUUAAAUUUUGCUUAUGCAAAAAUCAGAUGAUAAAUAUACAUUUUAAUUGAUUAAUAAUAUUAUUAAAUUAAAUUAAUUUAUAUACCGUAAUUUGCCUAACCUAACCCAACCCCAUCUAUCUAUAGUUGUCUCUCUGCCCUCUGCCACAAAUCGACCACCGAGACCAUAGCUUUCAAAUUGUUCCCACAAAUCGAUGUCAGUGCUACAGAUCAAGUAGGAUAAGAGAAGGGGUGGUGGCGCUAGUGUGAGGCAAAGGCAGAGGCGAAUCGCAAUAGUUGUUGUCACAAUGGCGAUGGUGCGAUGUGGUGGUGGUGGGUUGUGUGGUGGGGUUAUGAUUUCUAGUGGUCGAUGGCAGAGGUUUGGUGUGGUUUUUGGUGGUCAAUUUUUGCAGUGGUGUGCAGGUGGUGAUUUUGUAGCUACUGUGGCGGUGUUGUACUGUGCGUUGGAUCUGGUGGUGGUGGUCGCGACGGCUCUGUUGUGGUGUUGGUGGCUUUGUUCAGUGGCGAAGGCUCUGCUGUCUCUCCUCCAUCCUUUAUUUGUCAACGGUGAUAGAGCGUUGCUACGGUGGCAAUAAAUUCAUGAUUUAAUUUUGAUACAAUGUUAUCGUAAUGUGACCAAUGGACGUUGAUUCGUUGGUUGUGUGCAGUUGUGGUGGUGGCUAUAGUGGUGGUGGUGUUUGCAGUGCUCUAAGGUGGUGGUGGUGAUGGUGGUGUUGGUUGUUUUUUGGUAAUGGCGAAGGAAAUGAUUGAUUUCAGGUGGUUGUGUUGGUGAUUGUUGAAAUGGGUGGUGGUGGUGACGCGACGAUGCUAAGUUUGGGGAUUUUUUGGUGGCGGUGACGCGACAACACGGAGUUUGGUACGGUGCUUUGGAGUGGUGGGAUGGGGUGUGGUUGCUAUCGGUGUUGUAGUGAUGGUGAUGUCGAUGGUGGUGGCGGUGGGCAGCGUUGUUGGUGGUGGUGUGGUGCUUUGGAGUGGUGGGAUGGGGUGUGGGUGUAUAUGACGAUUUUAUUGGUUAACUAAAAGUUUUGACCAAAUUGGUUAAUUUGUGACCAAUGUGGAUGUGGUUUUGGCGGUGAUAGUGGUAGUGGUGCUGUUGGAGGCAGCAUUGAAGUGUUGGUAGUAAGUGUUGUUGAUGGUCACAGAUUAUUUGGUUGUUUGUGAUUAGUGAAUUGGUUAAUCUGUGAUCGAUAAACAAUAUGUAACCAAUGGAAAAGAUAAAUUGUGACGAAAAAAUAAUAUGUGACCUAAAAAAUUAAUAAUUUAACUGUCUAAUAAGUUGUGACCUAUAAUAUUUGUCAUCUGUGACCCAUAAAUUUUUUUAUUCGUGAUCGAAAAAUAACAUGUGACCUAUAAAAUUUUUUAUUUGUGAUCGAAAAAUAAGUUGUGACCAAUAAUUUGAUAAGUUGUGACUAAAAAUUAAUCGGUGACCAAUUAAUUUUUUGAUUUGUGUUCGAUGAAUAAACUGUGACCUACAAAAUUUUUGAAUUGUGAUCGUAAAAUAAUGUGACAUAAAAUUUCAUAUUUGUGACCAAAAAAUAAUAAGUGGCUAAUUAAAUUGUUAAUUUGUGACCAAAUUGUAUAAAUAUGUGACAUAAAUAUAUUUAAUUAUUAAAAUAAAUAAUUAAUUAAAUUAUAAAUAAAUUUUAAUAAAAAUCUGAUUUUUGAAAUUUGAAACUUGUUUUCUUAAUUUUGAAUUAUGUCAUACUUAAUCUCUUACUUAUAAAAUUUUUCCACAUAGAAAUUGGUAAGGUAAAAGAUCAUCGAGUAUAUAGACGGAUUUAGUCAUGGGCUAACCCAGACCAAUCAGGCCCAAAUCCCUUUUUUCUAAGAAAAAAAAGUGUCGAAAAAGAAAAAUCAUGUCUUUUUUAUUUUAUUUUAUUUUAGUGCUUACUUCGCUCCUGACCAAGUACAUGGUCCCAAUGAAAGUGUUUCUAGUUUUGACUGCCUAUGUAAUAUACCAUUUUUCCUUGUAAACAUGCUUUUUGUUUUGGUAAAUUGGUCAUUGGAAAUAUGGGUAUAAGAUGGACCGUCAAAAACAUCUUGGGUGAAUUUCACAGUUUUAGAAGUGUUAAUUUAUUCUAGUGAAACUAUUUUUAUUUAGAAAAAAUUAAAGAAACAUUUUUUUUUUCAAAAUUGAAGAAAUAAUAUAACAUGUUGCCAGAAAACUAUAAAUUCUUUACAUCUAUGGCAGUCGAGUAAGUGGAAUAUGUUUCCAUUCAAUCAAGACCACAAUUUAUCAUAUAUUGUUGAGUCAAAAAAAUUUAAAAGCUACAAAAAUAUUUAUAAAUAUAUUAAUAUUUUACCUACUUAAAAACUAAAAUAACUGUUAUGAGUUUAAUGGUGAUUUUCUUAUAAGAAAAAUAUAAAAAUUUUGAAUUUUUUGUACGUAGUAAAGUUAUAUGGGAUGAUGAUCUAAUUUUUACUAAAUUGCAGGAAUCAACAAAUGUUAUAUUUUAAAAUUGUUUUUAUAUAUUAUAAAAUAAUUAUAGAAUAUAAGAAUAUACUGAAAUAAUCUCUAAAAUCCCAAUUUAAACUUGUCAGAGUUGUUAAGAUAAAACAUUUUUCUUAAAUGAGUAUUAUAGUUUGAAAAAACUAGAUUAUAAAUGUAUGACAAAUUAAAAUUCAGUACUUCUAAAGUAGGAAUAAUUAAAUAUUUUGAGACUAAGCAAUUUUUGAUGUGAUUUAUCAUCAUCAUGAAUUAUUUUUUAACUUGAAGAGAGUACAUUUUUUCUCUUGCAUUUUGAUCACAACGCAAUAAUAUUUUUCAAAAUUAACUUUAUUAUUUAAAGAAAGAAGAGCAAUAUUGAUCAAAAUGUUGACUAUAUAAAGGACAAAUUACAUUCAAUAUUUUUCUUCAAUUCUAACUUUGUUAUGUUUUCCUAAGAACAAUAACAGGAAUUUAAUUUAGCUAAACAUAGCAUAAAGGUGCAAAUAUAAAAAAAAUAUAUAGAGAAAUAAAAAUUCUUUGUAAACAGUCGAUUCCAUGAUUAAAAGUUCAUUCCAUAUUUCUUUUAACAAAUGAUAAAAUAAAAAUAAAAGUAAUAUUUUUUAAAUCCUUUUAUAUGCAAUACAAAUAUAUAGAAGCUAAAGCAGAAUGUACAUUUUCUUAAUUUUUCAUUUUUGAUUGGAAAACAAACCCUAGAGGAGGUUUAUGUAGUUAAAAGGCAGAGGGUGUUUCUAAUAAUAGUCAAAUACUUUAGGCGUGUCAUCGAUAUUAAGUUUAUAAAUACACCAAUUUCACUGCCUAUAAAUAGGGAUAUCAAACGGGCCAACGAGUAGACGGCUCGAGCUCGUCAUUUGAGCCGAGCAAGGGGUUUAAUCCCACAAGCAGCUCGUGGGCCGUGGGCCGCCCACGAGCCAUUUUUGACGAGCCCACGAGCUUGUAAAAAAAAUGCAAAUUUAUAAAUAAAAAAAUGUGCAAAUUUACCAAAAAAAAAAAUUUUAAAAUAACAAGCUCGCGGGCUCAGCUUGGCUCGGCCCGCGAGCUCGUGGUCUCACGAGCCACGAGCUCGGCUUGGCUCAGCUCGCCCAAGCCCCAGCCAAGCUCAUAGGUUAAAGGGUCGAGCCGAUUUCCAUCACUACCUAUAAAUUUAUCCAACCCCUCUUCCACCAGCGUGAAGAACAUAAGAGCAAGAAAUACUUAAAAAAAAAAAAAAAAAAAUUGUAUGAGCUCUGAUGGAAACUCUGGAGGUUUUGGGGGGCCAAAUAAAGGAACAUCUUUCAUGGCUACGGUAGCAGCAAUGUUUGGAGUGGUGGCUUUGGCGUGUGAGUUAUGGAAUCUAGCUCGCCCGACAGAAGAGCCACCAACGGAGAAGAUGAUGAAAGCACCACGAAAAAAAGAUACAUAUAUUCCUAGAAACGACUUUGAGGGUAACCCUGCUGCCUAUUUUCGCAACUUUCGCCGAGGUCUGAUAUUAAUACUAUAGUACUAUAGGUUGAAAUCCGUUGCCAGGGUAAUCGGGAUAUAUUCAACUGUCGUGUUUAAUUUGCUGUUAUGCGUGUUUUAGUAGUAUAAAAAAAAAAGGUUGAACCCUAAUAUUGAGGGCUCCCACCGUCCCGCCCCUAGAUAAAUCGUGGAAUGUGUCCCACUAGGCUAUGGAACAAGAGUUUGCCCGUACACUGGUGCCCACAAAGAGUCUAAUUCUAUAUCUCAGGAAUCAAACCCUCACACUGCGACUGCCAGCAAAAUUGAGACUACUUCACUUCUAUUCUUUGCACCACUGCGUUAUGCCCCGGAGGGUGUUUUAGUAGUAUCAAUUAAUAUGGAAAUGGGGUGUCUAUCUCUAAUCGUCAACUAGAGAGAAGUCGAAUGUUGGAUUGUGAUUUAUGUGCUAAUAUUUUUAGUUCUAUGUAAUAAAAUGAUGUUUGUUAAUAUAUGAGUAUCUAUCUUUAACGACAACAUGUUUGAUGUCGUGUAUACAAGGUUAAAGGUUUCGGUGAAUUUAUUAGAAGGGCCUUUGUUUUACCAAUCAAAGUAAAAAUUAAGAAGUUGUAAAAGUUUAAGAAUGGUUAAAUUGAAAUUUGAAUUAUCAUAACAAGGACGGAGCUAGAAAGAUAUAUUAAGAUGGGUUGAAAUUUAAUUUCUUUUCAAUGAACACAUAUUAUAAAAGAUGUUCUAUGCCACACGAGAUUUAGUGCUUGUUUGAUACGGAUUUUAAGUAGAUUAAAAUCAAUUUUUUGACCGUUAUAUCACUAUUCUAACUGUCAUUUUUGAAUUCUUCUUUCACGGGUAGAACCCACUUUAUCUCUAACGGUUAAAAAAUCAAUUAUCAAAAUCCCUUCCAAACAGGCACUUAGUUUAAAGGGUUAAACUCAUGUGCUCGUGACAAAGUGGGGCAAUAUAUUUUUGAACACUCGUGACAAAAGUUAUAACAAAUAUAUUUUAAAACUAAUAAAAUUAAGUAUAGAGCACAUUACUUAUUUUAAUAAUUACAUCCAUUUCAUGGUUGAAAUAUAUCAAUUUUUAACUUACAAGUAUAAAUUAAUAAUAUAUGAAAAAAUAUAUAGAAAAAAUUUGAUUACUUUUAAACUUAGUCAAACAUGUAGCGUUUCAUACUGUUUAAAUAAGUGGUUUAUAUUUAUUUUAAUCGAUACAAAUUAUUUAUUGCAUAAUAAACUAAUUUGCUUAUAGGUGAACUCUUUAAACUUAGUUUUAUAUAUUUAUGAAUGAAAUAAAAUACUUAAUUUAAUAAAGAGUUAUUUGUGCAUCAUGAAUGUGAAUAAAAUAAAUAUGUAAAUGUUGAAAAGUCUUAAACUAAAUUUGAAUAAUUCAACAUUGAGCUUGGGUUGUGAAUAAAAUUAGUUGGGUUAAAAUUAAUUUUUGAAUUAGACUAAAUUUUUAUUUUUAUUUUCAUUUCACCAUGAACGUAGACUAAAUUUUACAUUUUUAAGCCAAUUUGCUUCAAGGCUAGGACAGGGCUAGCCUAUAGCCCCCCUCUCCAUCUGCCUUUGUAUUGUAAUACAUGGAUCUUACAAAAUACGUAAAUAGUAGUUGUUUGUUUUACAAAACAUUCGGAUAAAAGUAUGUUGAAUUAAUUAGAAUUAAACUUUGUCUAAUAUUACAAAAAAAGUUCAUCGUGGUGCAAGGGUGACAAUGCAGAAGAAGAGUGGAAAGAUUUUUUUUCCGCACAAUUUUGGAGGAGGUUUUCUGUUCAACUUCGUACUUCUUAAAAAACAAAUAAAUACAAGUGAUAAAUUUGCUCAUAUUUAAUGAUUUACCAUCGUGGUGUGUCUAUUUAGCCUUUGUUUUGGUAACUGUUCUUUCUUAACUCUUUUUUAAAAAAAAAAAACUCAUUUAGAUUGUAGUAAAAUACUUUUUACGUAAAUCAAAACUAUUCCCUACUUUUUACCACAAAUUAUCCAAAAAAUUACCAUUCAAAAACUCAUUUUUUACCAAAAAAAAAAAAGGGGGAUGUCAAACGGGGACUUAUUAACUUGUCAAUGCCAUACCUCACAUUCUCACCUCAAAUGAAGUUAACACGAUUUAGUAAAUAAUAUCAUAUUAAGGCCAAUUUUGCUGUUCGGCGUCUCAUUUUGUGUUAUUUAGAAUUAAGCUCAUUUAGGCGUAGGUAAAAUCUGAUUUUUAACAAAAAGUUAAUGAAAUGUGUGGUUAAAAAGUUAUAGGUUUUAGAAAAUGUAUAGUUAAAAUUAAUUAUUCAUUUUGAUUUGAUAUUUUCAUCUAGACCAAACAAAGAUUUAAGGAUUAAGUCAUUUGAACAUAAUUUGGUUGACAUGAUUGUUGACAUUCCAUUCAUUUUCAAAUUGCAUUUAGCGGGAAAGUGUGUUGCAUUUAAAAACUAUCCACUCAUGAAAUGACAUAUGGCACAAUGUCAAAAAAGAUGUUAAAUAAAAUGUACAUAUGAAUCCUGUGAAUAUUAUAACCCUUAUUUCGUCAAUAAUUUAAUCAUAUAAAAAUACAUUGAUUUCAUUAGUAUGCGUGACUAUGAAUAUAUUCACUCACAUUUCAUGUUGGGUCCUAUAGAGAUUCAUUUAUUGGAUCCGUACAGCAUAAAGGGUACAAACUAAUAAAUUGCUUUAUUCUCCUUCAUCUCAAAGCUUGUAAAAAGUUUGUACGAGGACAGUGACUAGAUUUACGUUGGAAUUUAGUGCAUGUUUGGUUUGAAUUAAAAUCUAAGUCAAAAUUAAACAAUCAAUAUUAAUAAUAUCUUUCAUGAGUCUUGCAACAUUUCAACCACACAUUUCAAAAACUUUUAUCACAAUCUACUAAAAAAUUUAAUUUUAAUUCCCACUGUACACCCUCUUAAAUUGUCAUUAUUAUCUAUUGAAAAUCUCUUUUGUAAGCCACAUAUUAGCAGUGUUUGGAGAUUUCUUAACAGCAAAGGGAGCACUGGAGGAAGUCUACGUCGUGAGUCAAGUCUUCGUAGAGCAUUAAGUCCUGUUUGGGCUCCAUUAAUUUUAAAAUGUAUUUUUAAAACCUCAUUUUUAAUCACUCAUUCUUUCAUAAAAUAAUAUUAAAAAUAAAUCCAAAACUUUUCAUCUUUUAACCACAAAUUCUCAAAAAAUCACUAUUUGAAAUAUAUUUUUUCUCGAAAUCACAUUAAAAUGAAACUCAAACAGUCUCUAAAUUGUCAGUUGAAAAAUAGCAACAAGUUUAGUAUUGAAAAUAUUAGCAAACUGCAUGUCGGUCUUCAAUUAGUUGCUUCUUAAUCCUUUGUUAUAGUUACACCCAAUCUAAGAAAAAUUAUUUAAAUCUCUAUUAAAUCGUUAUGUAGUGCUCAUAUGUUCAAUUCUAUGAACUUGAUUACGUGUUUGUUACUAGGGACAAAAUGUAAAAAAUUUAUGAAAGAUCGAAGGCAAACAUAAUUCUUUUUUAUUUAAUUGAUGACAAACUUGCGACUCAAAUGUUAAAUCAGGGACCAAUAAAGAGAUAUUUUUAAAGUAAAAUGUAUAACAAGAUAACUUUGAAUAUUCAAUGUUAAUCAAUAUGAUUAUAAGGUAAAUGAAUCCAUGGUGUUGUGGAUCUUUUAGCCUCUUGCAUCCGGUGAAACACCUUCUCAAACAACCAAAUCCACCACCUCGCUUCCAAAAUUUCCAUUCGCCAGUAGUAAUUCCUUCCAGCUUUUCUACAAUGAAGUUCAUCACUUCACUCACACCCAUCUCAUUAGGUUGUAAUGUGUGGUGAGAUGCUUUGAUGCUUUGGAGCAGAAAGAGCCACCAAUUAAAUGCAAUUAGGGUUGUGAAUUGAUAGCCUAAGAAUAACUAAUCAAGAGGAGUAAAUUGGUCUCCGAAACUUUUUUGAAAAAUUGAUUCUAAUUCAAACAAGUUGGGAAUGAGUAAGUCAAUCAAACAAAAUGUACAAAUAAGAAAGCAAUAAGUAAAAGAAAAGAAAGAGUUAAAAUGAUGCAAUUGUAGAGUUUCAAUUCCAACCAAUGAUCUACGUCCUCUGUUACCAAGAUCUCCGUCACGAGCAAGGUAUUUUCACAAUAUUGAUUGACUUACGGUGCAAUACAAAUCCUUACAAAUUUUUCGAUGACUUACAAACAAUGAGUACCGAUUGUUAUACAAUAGUAAGCUUUCCGAAACCUCAAUAUUCCACAAAUUAAAAGAUGAAUGAUUUUACAAUUUGAAACUUAUCUCUUAAUAAAUGAUAUAUAAACAAAUGAAGUUCUAAGAAAGAAAGAGGUUAACACUUUAAUGAGUAGCAAUGAAAGAAGCUCAAAUAUUAGGUGAGAAAAAACUUUCAUGAGAAAGAUAUUUGUCGAAAGUUGAUUCAAUCAAAAGUCUUUCCAAGUAAAUGAUUUGAUAAAGACAAAGAAGAUGUAAAAUCAAUAUAAUCUGCUUAAGAACAUCUCACUUAAAAUGCUCUUCAAAUUGUUGUGAUGAAUACAAAGUGAGAUGGUAUUUAUAGAGUUCAAAAUGUCAAAAGUUCUGAGUAACCGGAAGUCCACAUUCUAAAUCGGACAACCAAUGUAGCCGUGUUGUGCGUUAGAACUCAAAACGGUUAAACAAAGUAAUCGUUGGACAAGCCAAACAUCCGUAUCGACAGAUCUUCCUUUGAUUGCUCAUUUCUUAAUUUUUUGAAAAAUGUAGGCUUUUUAAGAGCAUUUUUUCACUUUAUUUUUAAAGGUAAGUGAUAUUGUAAAAUAUUUGACAUCAUUAUCUUUUAGAAAAUAAUUUUUAUGUGAGUGAUUUCAUGAAAUAAUUUUUCAUACAUAAAUAUUUAUUCACUGAGCUUUUAAUAAUUCAUUAUUAAAUAUUGAAGCAUUGUAUCUUUACACAUAAAUACAUUUAAUCUAAUAUUUUCAAUGUUUGCCUAUUGAGAUUCUUUGUCUCAAAUGAUUUGUCUUGAUUACUUGACUUCUAUCUUGAUUUUUAUCAAAUGCGAGAUGCGAGUCUUUUGAUUGUAAUCUUUUUGUCCUUGAUCAAUCAACGUUACAACAAUAGCUUUGAAUACUUAAAUUUAAUUGUUAAAAAUAAAGUUAACUUGUUUGUUAUGGCCAAAACAUUAAAGAUGAAAUCAACUUUGGGUCAACAUGAUUUCCAUGGAAAUUUGGGAUAAAUUUUCCAAAAGUUCGUCAAUUUUGGGACCCAUUUGGAGCACUAUUGAAUACAUUUCUUCUCCAUAAAGGACGAGGAUUAUUUUUAGUCUACUUCCUUGGUCAAGCUACAUAAAUUGCGACUAUUGUGUUAGUUUUAGUUUUGCUCUAGGGCAAUUUCUUUUAAGCUUUGUCACUUGGUUCUAGAGGUAGUAAAAAAUUGUGCUAGGUGUACAGUAAUUUAAACAACCCUCUCACAUGGAGGAUGUGGGGUUACGAUUAAAAUAAUCGUAGGGUCCACCCAUGUGAGAGAGCUAUAUAAAUUGUUGUACAACAAGUGCUAUACAAGCGUCAAAAUCCGGUAGCAAAAUGCACUGUGUGCCGACGCUCCAGGUCAACAUUUGGAUGGAGUGAUUAUAUUGUAGAAACUAAAGUGAAAGCCAGCUAAUAAAAUCCAGACAUUUUUAAAAACAAUCAUGUUUGGUGUACAAUGUUUUUGACCUUUGCAUAUAAUAUUGGCGAGAUUGAAGUAACUUUUUGUUCAAAAAUCUUCCUAAUAUAAACAAGGAUUAUAUUUCUAAAUUUUCUUCAUUUAGAGAUUUUCUUUUUCUUUAAUUAAAAAAAAAAAAAAAGACUAGAGGGCCAGGGCAUGUCUACUUGUUAUUUUAGUUACAAUCAAUAUAAUAAAAAUGGUUUAUUUAAAUUAUCUGAUAGUCCUCUUAUGUUUGGGUCUCGAGAUAUAUGAUAAAAAUUAAUUAUUCAUUUCACUUCUUUUUAUCAACUUAUUAGUUAAACCAACCAUUGGCUUCAAAAGAACUUUUCAUUGUUGAAUAUAGAUUGUGCACACCUACUAUGAAAGAUCAAAGAUAUACUAAUUUUUUUAAUUUUUUUUAAUUAGAGACCCACUUGCUACUCAAAUAUUUCAUUGACAAAAAAACCAAUUUUUUCAAAGUAAAAAGUUUAACAAGAUAACUUGUACAUGUGUAGCUCAACGAUUGGAUAAGUAAUUAAUACGUUGCAUCAAAUCUUUUGAAUUAAAUAAAUAUUAACCUAAGUUAUAUCGUUCAUCCAACAAUAAAUUAUUUAUCCGUUCAUAAUUAAUUAUGAAAUUAAACAAUAAAAGAAUUAAAAACAUCACCAAAUUCAAUACAAUAAAUUAAAAAGGGAACAAUUCCACACAAGUGCUUUUUUUUGAGUGAAAUUCUGCCAUGUGUUUUUGUGAAAUAUGUCUGUACGUGUAGCAUGAUUCUAAAAAAUUAAUUUAGACUAUUGUUAAUCUGCUACACGAAUCUCAACAAUAAAUCUUCGACAUUUUCGUGUAUAAUUGCAUAUCCUUUGACGAUUAAGGGACCACGUCCAAUGAUUCUUUCUCUACCUAAAUUUUGUCUUGGCUACUAAAGAAUCUUUUCUUACCGCGUUCCUAUUAACUUUUAAAAAGAAGUAAUUAAUUAUUAAUUAUAGUUUUUGCUCCGAAUCAUUGUCCUAAUUGAUAAUAUAUUAAGCACGAGAAUCAUCAUUAAUGUAACACUUGGAAAUAUUUAAAUUGCUACCGAUAACUCGAUGAUGAUUAUCCUCGUAGCAAUAUACACUCAAAAUUUCUACCAGUUUUUUUUUUUUAAACUACGUAUUUUAUAAGAUUCAAAAGUUUUCAUUCACAUAUUUCGUCAACUUUUUUAGACUCUGUUAAAAAAAUAAUUUUUUUUAUCUAAAUCAAAUAGGGACUAAAUAUACCCCCCGUUUGGCGUCCAUUAAUUUUCACUCCAAUACAUUUCAUUUUUCUCUUUCCUAUUUUCAACUACACAAUUUUUCAUAAAAAAUAUUAUAAGUAAAUCGAAAUUUUUUUCUUUUUUUUCAACCACUCAUUUUUCAAAAAAUCACUAUUCUAUCCAUUAAUUUUUCCACAAAAUGGGAGCCAAAAAGGGAUAUAGUUGGGGUUAUGAUUUUUACGAAAAUUUGGCAUAAAUUUCCCAAAAGUGUGUCAAUUUGUGGGACCUAUAUAGAGCAUUUAUUGAGUGAGUUGUUCUACCUUGCCAAGCCCCCUCUACCAAAAGUCUUACAGGGCCUCACACAAAGGAAAGGGGUCAAAUUUUUAACAAUUUUUUAUGUGGAAAUUACAAAAAUCCAGGUAUUUAAAGAUGACAAUACAAAAUUCAGGUUGAAAGUUUUUUUAAUCAAAAAUCAGGUAUUAUAUAUUUAUACCCACCCUACCCAACCAAACCCUAAAUAAAUUCAUAUCCUCGUCUCUCUCGUAGCCCUCUUUCCCUGUAUCCAUUUAUAUUCUCUCCACCCAUUUCGAUUCAUCUUCAUCGUCGUCGUGUAUCAUUCGUCAUUGAUUCCAUCAAUCGUCAGUCAGUCUACCAUAUUUACCCGAUGAUAUGUUGUGGCGAUGCUUGGAUAUGAGCGUCGCUGCAGCGAACUGUGCUCGCGCUCAAAUCUCAGUCCCUGCAGUGACAUUCAGUCUCAGAUCGAUGCUGUGAGAUAGUGGUGUGGCUGGUUGCAGUGAUGGUGGGUGAGGAUGCGGUGGUGGUGGCACGCUGUUGUCCAGUGGUGGGUUGAUCAAUUUGUAGUGGUUCAGAUGUGGUGUGGUAGGUUGGUGGCUUCGAAUCUAGUUUGUGGUGGUACCGUGAGUGCAGUGGUGUUGGCGGUGUCGUGAUAUGGUGGUGAUGCUGAGGUUGAGAGGUGUCGGGGGUGUAUUGUUUGGAGUUUCUAGUCGUGGUUGUGUUAGGAGAUGUGGUUAUGUUGGUGCGGUUGUGGGUUGGGGGUGUUGUGUGAUUGGUGGUGACGGUCUUGGUGGUUUCUAGCGACAGUCGAGAUGAUGGUUGGUGGUUGGAGAUUGUGGCAGUGGAUCGAGAUUGAGGUGGGGUGCUUGGUGGUUGGGGUCGAUUGUUGGUGUGUUUUUUCUGUUGGCGAUUGUCUGUGACCUUAAAAUUUGGUCCAUGACCUUAAAAUUUGAUAAUUUGUGACUAAAAAAUAAUCUGUGACCUCAAUAAUUUGGUUUGUCACCUUAAAUUUUGAUGAUCUGUGACCUAAAAUUUUUUUAUCUGUGACUUCAAAAAAAUUUGUAACCAAUUAAUUUGAUGAUAUGUGACAAAUAAAUUAAUUUGUGACCUAUAAUUAUGAAUUUGUGACCAAAAAUUGUUAAACUGUGACUUUAUUAUAUUUAUUUAAUAAAUAUUUUUAAUUAAUUAAAUUCAUACCUGAAUUUUGAAUUUUCAAACAUUUUACUUGAGUUUUGCAAUGGUGUAAAAAAUACACCUGAUAUAUGAAUUUUUCCUAUUUUUUAUUGCAUGUGGGUUUGACCUGGGCCCACGUCAUUAUGAGAAGCCUGUACAAGUCUGGUAAGCUUCACCCUGGCAUACCAGCAUUACUCGUCCAGAACCCGUCUACUUUCUUGGUCAAGUUACAAUUAGCCCUUGUUUGGACGAGUAAUGUUGUUGAUAAUGAAGAUUACACGCAUUCAUUUUACGUGGUAUACAUAUGACAGCUUGUUAUUUGAUGAAUAAGGUAAUAAAAAAAUUAUCAUAUUAAUGUAUUAAAUAACAAAUAACAUGUGUAUGCCGAUUAUUGGAAGUCUUCAAUAUGAAUAAUAGCAUUACACUGUUUGGGCUUCAGUAAAAUGUAAAUUUGAAAAAUAAAUGUAUUUCGAAAUAAUAAUUUAUUUAUUUAUUUAUUUAUUUUGAAAAAUGUGUGGUUAAAAAUGAGAUUUUUUUUUUUCAAUUUGCAUGUAAUAUUAUUUUAUAUGUGCAGUUAGAAAUGAAUUUUGAAAAAAUGAGUUUUUGAAAAAAGGAACCAAACAAAGACUUAUAUAUUAAUUGUAGUUUUGCUCUAGGUAAAUUUCUUUUCAGCCUAAUCAUUUUGUUAUAGUGGUGACAAAAUGAACCGCGAGCGGACCUUCAUGGCUUAAAACGUAAGUCGAGUAAUACAAUUGACACAUUUUUAAAAUGAAUUAUACCGAUCAUGUUUCUUACCUUGAAUAUAAUGUUGGCGAGAUUGAAGUUAUUUUUUUUUAAAGGUCUUGCCAAAUUAAAUAUGGAGUAAUGUUUCGAAAUCUUCUCGAUUUUAUAGAUUUUUUUACUAUGUAUAACAUUACUUACAGAACGCACACGGUAAGGGGAUCCCAUCUCAUAAAAAUUCGAAACCCCCUCGCCCUCAUCUACCCCUGCUCUGUGUGUUUUGGAUGGGUUGCGUGAAACCCCCAUAUUGACACAGCGUUAUUCAACUCUCAGUGCCUAGGAAAAUUCAAUUCCCUACAUUAUGAUGGGUCCUGCGGAGAUUCUCUAUUGGAUCCGUACAGUAUAAUUUGUUCUAUUUCACUUUCUUUUCUCAAAGCUUUAAAAUAAAAAUUGUACGAGGACAACGACUGGAAUAAAAUGGAGUUAUCGGUAUUAUUAUCAUGAGAGAGGCUACAAUGACAAAAGGACACUGGAGCAAGUCUACUUUUUGAGUCAACUGUCAAGGUACAUUUUGUUAUAGUCACAAUCUUCUUAAUAAAAACGGUUUAAAUUUUUAUUAAUUAUUUUGUAGUCCUCAUAUGUUUAAUUCUAUGAAUUUGAAUAAAUAUUCAAAAUUUUUAUUAGUCCCUAUUUUAUUUUGCUAAAAUUCAUAUUUUUAAUAGAAUUUUUAAUAAAAGUGAAUGGAAUAAAUGAUAGAAAAUUUGAUAAAAUUUGUGGAUCUCAUGUUUAAAAUUUAUUGUUAAUUUUAACUUAAAUGUUAAUUAACUUUUUAAGUAAAUCAAAGAGAGGUUCAAAAGAACUUUUCAUUAUUAAAGAUAAACAGUCAUGUUCCCCUAUCCAUGAUAGGAAGUCUUAUCUUAAAAGGUCUUAUCUUACCCACUUUUGAAGAAAAUCUUGCCCCCCGGGGCACAUCCAAAUUGGCAAAGGAAGGACAGUGUGGGGCUCGCAAUCCCAGCGUGGGGAGUUCGAUUCCUGGUUGGAGCAGCUGAGUGUUGUAAUAACCAGAGGAAGAGUUGGAGCAGCUUGGUGAUGUAAUAACCAUGGAGGAGGCUCUCUUGGGGUCAGGAGUAUAAAGGCUAUUCGAACCCUGGUCAACUUGGGCACAUCUCGCGAUUUACCUCCCUGAGCUGCUGAGGGGCCGGAAGUUCAGGAACGAGGAUAUAGUCUGGCGUAAACUGGGACACCUCGUUAAAAAAAAAAAGUCUUAUCUUACCCACUUUUGAAGAAAAUCUUACUUAAAAUUCUCACAUUUUGAGACGAACCGUAAUUUAAGUUUUUCUACCACAUCAGCAAGUAGAUAAUUUUAUCCUGUCCACUAUGAGCAGGAGAACAAUUUCUUAAAGGUUAAUUGUGCAGCUAUUACAAAAAAAGGGUACACUUAGAGGAACUUGCUACUAAAAUAUUAAAUCAAAACAAAUUUUUCCAAAGUAAUAAGUGAAUCGAGAUGAGUAGGCAGGAGAAUAAUUUCUUAAAAGCUAAAUUGUGCAACUAUUACGAAACGGGGUGGACAUAGAGGAACUUGCUGCUAAAAUAUUAAGCUCCUGUUUGGUACGGAUUAAAAUCUAGAUUUUAAUCUAAAUCAAAAUUGAAAAUUAAUUUUAAUCAUAUAUUUUAUAGAUCUCACAACUUUUUGACCACGUAUUUCAUUAAUUUAUAUCAAAAUAUACAAAAAGUUUAAUUUUAAUUCCACUAAAUAAGGGCUAAAUCAUUGACCAAAAACCAAUUUUUCUAAAGUAAAAGGUGAAUCAGGAUAACUUUGUGCAUGUGUAGCUCAUUGAUUGGAUAAGUAAUUAAUUUGUUUUUAUCGAAAUUUGCUUAUUUAAAGCUUGUGUUAUAACAUUUGAUCAUUCACGAAAUACACCAUGAGUUCCUACGGAAACCCUAAAAGUUACAGUCAACAAAAUGACUCCUUCAAAACAAAAAUGGAGGAAAAAAAGAAGGAAAUAUCUGUAAACGAUGUCAUGGCAGAAGCCAUUGCCGGGUCUGGCUCGAGGUCAAGGGGCAAAUGGAUUCUAGCCAAGGACACGGUGGCGCCAUUGUUAUAUUACUUGGGUUGUCUCACCAUUUCUUGCUGGCCCGGAUUGAGGCUUGUGGGCUUGGUCUGUUGGAAUUAAUUUCGGGUUAUAAAACGCGUUUUAGAGAAACACACUUUUGCUUCUUAAAUGGUUGAGGUUCAGCUGUACACGUGGCUUCACCCUCACCCUUGGAUGGUUGACUGAUCAAAUACUUGGUUUUGGCUCUGAUUCUAGACGAUUCGAAGUCUUUCAACCUUUCGUUUUUCUCUCCUUUUCUCUGAGUGAUAGAUUAGGGUUUUUGGGUUACUGUAAUUCGAUAUGUUCUUGGUGAUUUCUCAAUCUGUAAUCUUAGUAAUGGUUUCUGAUAGUGUUGUGUAGUUUGUUAGCAAUUGAGAGUGUGUUUGAUUACAGUUUUUUAAUAGAGGCGAAAGGAAAUUCGAAGAAACCUUUGGUUUUUUCGUACAUAUUGUACUGUUCUUGGUUGAUACUUAGUGGAUCUUGAGCUUUAUCACCUUUUGGUGAUGCUCAAUUAGGUCACAAGACCGAACAUCCGGGCCCUUUUUAGGGCGAAACAUAUCUUUGUGUUCAAAUCCUUUUAAUUUUCUGUGAAUUAUUUUUACUGCAAAGCGAUCCGAUUUCUUGAAACUUAACGUUUUUCGACUUAACAAGUGGUAUGAGAGAUACUAUUUGUUGAAAAGAAAUUUUUCGAACAGUAUCUUCAAAAGGAUUUUGGGGAUCUCAGAUCUGAUGUUUCUGGAAAACCGUUUUUGGUCUUGAAAGCUGAAAUUUUAAUUUCUUUAUGACUCGUUUUUAACUCAUUCUAACUUGGUUCUAACUCUGUUUGAUAUGUUGUUUUUGUACUGGGUUGUGCAAGUUGAGUUGACUCGGUCGGAGUUGUGGUGAGUUCUUGACUCACUAUUGAGUUCACACUGAGUUCUGGUAACUCGUUGGCUUCUUGAACCUGUAUUGCCCUUCUUGUUCCGGUUUUGACACUUUCUUACUGUUUUCUUUGUUCUGAAACAUUAAGUUUUCAAACUCUGGUAUUUUCUGGAACCCCCUUUAUUAAAUUGUAAUUGUAAUCUGUUUAGUGUUUGGUCAUUAAGGUAAGUAAUCUUCCAAUGCUUACUUUUGUCCAAGAUCUCUUACGAGGAUCUGGAAAUCUGAGGAAGUAGUGGGCUGCAAGGAUUAUCACUCCUUAGACCACUCUUAGACUGUCUUUCAGUUUUUGAAUUGAAUUGUGUAUUGCAUGAUAAGUAGAUACAAUUAUAUUUUCUGCCUUAUUCAUUCUGUCACAUUUUUGUCAAUUCAAUUAAAUACCUGAAUCAAUAUACUCCGUGUGAUGUAUAAAUUUUGCGUGUACAUAUUUGUCAUCAUGUCCACGUCUAAAAAAUUUGAAGUUGAGAGAUGGAAUGGUACUGGAGACUUCAGUCUCUGGCGGCAAAAACUGAGGGCACUAUUGCUGCAGCAGAGGUGUGUUGCAGCCAUUGAUGGUAAUUGGCAUGCAGAAACUAGUGCCAAUAGAAGACAGGAAUUAGAUGACACUGCAUGGAGUACAAUUUUUUUGCACUUAUCUGACAGUGUAAUUAGGAAAGUUGGAGAAACUACAUCUGCUCAGGCUCUUUGGACUAAGUUAGGAACAUUAAAUCUAACUUGAACCAUGCCUAAUAAAUGCUACCUUCUAAGGCAAUUCUAUAAUUUUAGAUUUGAUCCCAUCUCAAAUCUGGAAGAUAACUUUGACAGAUUCACAAAACUGAUUCAGGGCCUGACUAACUGUGAUGAAGAAAUUUCUAAUGAUCAACAAGUUGUGGCAUUGUUAAAUUCACUAAGUGAUGAGUAUAGAGACAUUAGAAAUGCAUUAGAAUAUGGGGGACAAGAACUUACCAUUGAUAGAAUAAUCUCAGCCCUGAGAAACAAAGAACUUAAAAUAAAAUUUGAGUCUAAAGACUCUAGGUAUGGUGAGGGGUUAUUCAUAAAGGAGAAACAGAACCAAAAUAAGAAACAAUAUCCCUUAAAUCAAAAUUUAAAUAAGAAAGGGAAAACUCAAUUCUCCAGAUUUAAGGAAAAGAAUAAGAAUCAAUGGAAAACUAAAAACCAAAUCAGGAAAUGUUAUUACUGUGGUAAAACUGGCCAUGUAAUAAAAGAUUGCUUCAAGAAAAUCUCAGAUAUGAAAGAGAAUACUAAUACUGAGGGAUCUGCAGCUGUAGCCUGCAGAGAUGAAUCUGAUAUUCAAGGGGUUGUUUCGGUAACAACCACCAGAAGAGACCCAAAUGAACGGGUCCUUGACUCUGGUUGCACCUUUCAUAUGUGUCUCACAAAAGAAUGUUUUUCUGAAUUUGUUGACCUAAAUGGAGCACAAAUUCAGAUGGAAAAUGACAUGAGUUGUCAAAUUAAGGGGAUUGGGAAGGUCAAACUCUCAUUAAAUAACAGUUGUACCCUAGAACUUGAGAACACCGAAUAUGUCGCUGAGUUAAAAAGAAAUCUUAUUUCCUUGGGUGAGCUUGAUGAUAAAUACAGCAUUAUGAUUCAUAAAGGUUUUUUAAUUCUUAUGCAAGGAAAUAAAACUAUCAUAUCCUCUCAAAAGAUAAAUGACAUAUAUACUGUAUGUGCUAAAUCUGUGAUAGAUCACUGUUCCACAACCUUAAACUUUGAUUCCAAUAAGUCUUUAAUUUGGCAUAAAAGACUUAGCCACAUCUCAGAAAACGGACUAAUAAUCUUAAAUAAACUUAGAUGUUUUGGUAAAGACAAUGUUAAGGGUUUGGAUUUUUGUGAAAAUUGUGUAUUUGGAAAACAGAAGAAAUUGCCUUUCAAAACUGGUAUUCAUAAAUCUACUUCUAUAUUAGAAUAUUUACAUGCUGAUCUUUAGGGACCAGUAUCUAUAAAUACUCUGAGUGGAUUUAGAUUUUAUCUACUUAUAGUAGAUGAUUUUUCAAGAAAAAUUUGGACUUUUCUUCUAAAACAAAAAUUUGAUACUUUCCAAACCUUUUAACAUUAUAAAUUAAUGAUCGAAAACCAAACAAAUAAGAAAAUCAAGGCUUUAAGGACUGAUAAUGGUCUUGAGUUUUGUAACUCUGAAUUUGACUUGUUUUGUAAAGAUUAUGGAAUCUUAAGACACAGAACUGUAACAUACACUUCUCAGCAAAAUGGUGUUGCUGAGAGAAUGAAUAGAUACUUAUUGGAAAAACUGAGAUGUAUGUUGUACAGUUCUAGUCUUCCUAAAUUCUUUUGGAGAGAGGCCCUAAAAAUAGCAACUUAUCUAAUAAAAUACUCGGGCAACAGAGGAAAAAGAAGCCCAUUCCUUAGCAGGUCAGGAAUGUUGAAAUGAAGAAUUUCGACCCGCGAAAACCCUUCCCCUUUGAUCUGAUCGAGAAGAAUGAGUCCCUAAAAUGAUAUGGUCAGGAAAAUUUCCUGAUUAUAGUAAACUGAAAGUUUUUUGCUACACUGCCUAUUCAUAUCAGAGUGAAGGAAAACUAGAACCCAGGUCCUUAAAGUGUGUUUUUCUGGGUUAUGGAGAGGAAACAAAAGGGUACAAACUGUGGGUUAGAGACCAAAAUGGCUUUAAGGUCAUUAUUAGUAGAAAUGUCAUCUUCAAUGAAAAUGACAUAUUUUGUGUGAAAUCAACUGAUCUUAAAAUUUCAGAACCUGCACUAUUGAAAGAAACCAUCCUGGAAAAUAAAACUGAUGAAUCUGAAAAUCUAGAUGGUCUAAUUGAGGUGGAGACCUCUCAGUCUGAGGAAAAUUCUGAUCAAAAUGAAACUGAAAUUGAGGUGGAAUCUUCAGAUCCUACACUUGCUGAUUAUCAGUUAACUAGGGAUAGAGAAAGGAGAAAUAUAAGACCUCUAAUCAGAUUUAAUAAUGAAGAAUUUGUCACUUUUUUCUCUGGUCUGGACUUAUUAAAUUCUGAACCUACUUCAUUUGAUGAAGUAAAUAAAUGUCCAGAUUCUAAGUUAUGGAAAGAGACUAUGAAUGAAGAAAUGAACUCUCUCAUUAAAAAUAAAACUUGGGUUUUGGUUGAUAGGCCUAAAAACCAAAAGAUAAUUGACUGCAAGUGGAUUUUUAAAAUUAAACAAGGAGACUCUAACUCGCAAGAUAAAAGAUACAAGGCCAGAUUAGUGGCCAAGAGUUUUACUUAAAAGGAGGGGGUGAAUUACAAUGAAAUUUUUUCUCCAGUGGCAAAAUAUACCUCUAUAAGAAUAGUGUUGGCACUAACUGCUCAUUUUGACUGGGAAUUAGAUCAACUGGAUGUCAAAACUGUAUUCGUCAAUGGAGAUCUUGAUGAAACCAUAUACAUGAGUCAACCUCUGGGGUUUAAAGUAAAGUCUAAGAUCAAUAAGGUUUGUUUGUUGAAGAAGUCCCUCUAUGGACUAAAACAGGCUCCCAGGCAAUGGUAUAUCAAAUUUAACUCUUAUGUGCAGACUUUGGGUUUUGUCAAAAGCAAUUAUGAUUCCUGUUAUUUCUAUAAAGGUUCAGGUGGACCUAAAUCCAUUUAUCUAUUAUCAUAUGUUGAUGACAUGUUGCUUGCCUGCCAUGAUAGAUCUGAAAUUAACUUUAUUAAAUCAAAAUUAAAAUCUGAAUUUGAAAUGAAAGAUCUAGGACAAGCAAAAAGGAUCCUUGGACUGGAAAUAGAAAUCGAUAGGAAUAAUUGCAUGUUAAUAUUGAAACAAGGCAUAUAUGUGAAGAAAAUACUUGAAAAGUUUGCAAUGCUUGAGUGCAAACCUGUAACCUUACCCAUUGCUAAUCAUUUUAAACUGUCAAGUGAAAGUUCACCUAAAACAGAUGAUGAAUUUAUAAGAAUGGAAAAGAUUCCUUAUGCGAAUGCUGUAGGAUCAAUAAUGUACCUUAUGGUCUGUACCAGACAUGACUUAGCUCAUGGCAUUAGUACCUUAAGUAGGUUUAUGUCAAAUCUAGGUGAAACACACUGGUUAGCCAUGAAGUUUUUGCUAAGAUACUUAAAAGGAAACUCUGAUUUAGGCUUAAUGUUUAAAAGAAGCAAUGAAGGGGUAAAGUUAAAGGGCUACACUGAUUUUGACUUUGCUGGCAAUUUAUAUAAAAGAAGGUCAACAUCUUCAUAUGUUUUCACUUUGUGUGAUGGCUACAUUAGUUGGAAAUCACAACUGCAAAAAUUAGUUUCUCUUUCUUCUACAGAAGCUGAAUAUAUUGCUGCUUGCGAUGCAGUAAAAGCAAGUCUUUGGCUAAGGGGUUUGUUAAAUGAAAUAGGUUUUGAAAAUAAUAUUGUUAGGAUUUAUACUGAUAACCAAAGUGUCAUACAUUUGAGUAAAAAUCCUGUCUACCAUGACAGAACUAAACAUAUAGAUAUAAAAUUUUACUUUGUGAGAAAUAUGGCAGAAAAAGAUUUGAUAAAUCUGAUCAAAAUUCCUACAGAAUUUAACCUUUCAAAUUUAGGAACUAAGAUAUUACCUUUGAGUAAAUUUUAAAAUUGCUUGAAGAUUCUGAAUAUUACUUGAGAUAGUAAUAAUCAGAACUUCAAGUGUUUAGUAUUGGAAAGAUUUGAACUAAUUUGUUUUUUUUUUUUUUUGCAGGUAUUGAGAGCAAAUGAGCCAACAGUUGCUAUAGCUCUAGAUUCACUAGUAGAGACCAAGAAAUAGUUCAGCAAGGUGGAGAUUGUUAUAUUAAUUGGGUUGCCUCACCAUUUCUUACUGGCCCAGAUUGAGACUUGUGGGCUUGGUCUGUUGGAAUUGAUUUUGGGUUAUAAAACACGUUUUAGAGAAACACGCUUUUGCCUCUUAAAUGGUUGAGGUUCAGCCAUACACGCGGCUUCACCCUCACCCUUCGAUGGUUGACUAAUCAGAUACUUACUUGGUUUUGGCUCUGAUUCUAGACGAUUUGAAGUCUUUCAACCUUUCGCUUUUCUCUGAGUGAUAGAUUAGGGUUCUUGGGUUACUGUAAUUCGAUAUGUUCUUGGUGAUUUCUCAAUCUGUAAUCUUAGUGAUGAUUUCUGAUUGUGUUGUAUAGUUUGUUAGCGAUUGAGAGUGAGUUGGAUUAUAGUUUUUUAAUAGAGGCAAAAGGACAUUCGAAAAAACCUUUGGUUUCUUCGUACAUAUAGUACUGUUCUUGAUUGAUACUUAGUGGAUCUUGAGCUUUAUCACCUUUUGGUGAUACUCAACGGGUGAUUAGGUUUCAAGACCGAACAUCUGGGCCAUUUUUAGGGCGAAACAUAUCUUUGUGUUCGAAUCCUUUAAAUUUUCUGCGAAUUAUUUUUACUGCAAAGCGAUUCGGUUUCUUGAAACUUAAUGUUUUUCGACUUAACAGCCAUCAACUAUGAUGCUGGAGAAGAUGGAGGAAAAGAAUGAAACAUCUAUCUUGGGAACUGCAGCUGCGGCGGUUGGUGUAGUAGCAGGUGUGGCCAUGGUGGCGCAUGGCUUAUGGAAGUAGCCAAUUACUUGUACCCGGAUCCUGGGUCAAAAUAUGAUGAGAAGAAGAAGAUGAUGAUGAAAGCCCUAGGCAGAAAUCCUCUUGCAAUUCCUAGGGACAAAUUUAUCAAGAAUCCUAGAGAUUACUUUCGCGACCUGCGUGGUCGUGAAAGCUCCUGGAAGUAUUGAAGGAAGCUUGGAACUUGUAUUAGUGGUGGAUUGACGAGUUGAGAACGAGAAUUCAACUCUAUAAUCUUUAAUUUUCGGUUGUUAUUAUAUAUAUUUUAAAAAAAAAAAAAAGGGGGAAAAAAGACCAAUAUGGAAGAUGGGUCUCUUUGUGAUCUUGUUCUAUCUAUAUUUCAGUUUUAUGUAUUGCUGUUGAUUAUGAAUAAUGAUGCCGAUGUUUUAUCUAGUUUUAUGCUUCCACAUGUCAAAAUUAAUCUUAUCAACAAUUCUUCGUGUUUAUGAAGAUGGAUUGCACUCAAGUUUGUUCACUUUGUCAAUAGUUACAGAAAAAAAUCGCUAAUAUUGAAAAUUGAAUAAUUCCCCAUAUCAUAGGCAAAUUCUAUGAAAAAUUCAUCUUGCAAUGAUUAAAGUGAAAAAUGGGAGUAAAUAAUUUUUUCUCUGUGUACUCAACCAUUUGGACGACUCUUGAACUUGAGUAAUAACUAGUUAGUUAGGAAGUAAGAAAAAUCGAUACUGCAAGUGAGAUGGUAAGGACGUAGAAUAAUAAAAGAGAGAGAUAAUGUGAACUAAAAAUGAAUUAUUUUAUAAAACUGUAAUAAGUAAGGCUAAUUUGCAUCUUCUGAAUGCAACUUGGUACUUACUGAACAAAUUUCUCAUCUUGAUGACUUAAAGUUCUAUUUUAAUGUGAACAAUGUUGAUUUAACAUGAAACGAUUUGUUAAUUCUUUACAAACGAUUUACUCUCAUCCCUCGACACGUUUCAACUAGUAUCACGUGGUGGGUCGUCCUGUUUAUACCAACUAUUGAAAUCCCUCUUGUUGAUGAUUUGGACACUUUUUAAGAUUUCUAUUUCAAUGUAAACAAUGUCAUUUGACAUCAAUCGAUUUAUUAAUUCUUUGCAAACAAAUUCCUCUUAUUUGUUUACACGUGUCAAUUAAUUGCCCAUGGUGGGUCCGGUUAAUACCAACUAUUGGAGCUCCCACAAGCAAUAAAUUAUUCUACGUCUCUCUUUUUUAAAGUUUGGAAAAUUUUGUACAGGGAUAGUUAUUACUGGACUAAAAUGGGAAAAAAGAAUCAAUGAAUUGAUUUAUGCUGUUUGUAUAAUUUUCUAAAUUUUUUUUAUCUAGUGGGUCCUACUUAAAGCAUUAUUUGAGAUUUCUUGACAACAAAGCGAGCAAGUCUAAUUUGUGAGUCGUCUCUAGAAAUUGCAAUUAGUGCCCCAACUUAUGGACAACAUGCAGUUGGAGUCCCCAUUAACUUUUUUAGAUAUUUUCUCAGCAUUGAAUGCUCAAUCCUUUGCUUUUAUUUUUUGAAAAAUUAGGGUUGAAAUCUUCAAAUGCUAGUAAUGUGGUUAUAGUUUCCAACCUUCAAACAAGAAAAUGCGUCAUCAGCAUAUGGGCUAAAGGGCAUGCAGUGUCAAAAAGGUCCACUGGCUAGUCCGUCACAAAUAGUUGGAGUACGUGGGGCCCACUUCUUGGGGGUGGACCCAUUGUAUAAAAUGAUUUUAAAAACUACACAUAAUAAGAAAUGUAUGCCCAUUAACUUGUUUAGUUUUCAAAUUCCAAAAUUACUAUUCCUAGUAUAAAAAAGUAAGAAAAUCAUUUUACAAAAAAAAAAAUUGUUUUAAAUAUAGUAGAUUUAUGAAUGAUUUUUAUACUUCUACAACUUAGUCAUUAUGACUGUUGUAUCCCUAAUCACCUUAAUUCUUCCAUAUAAAUAUGAGGUUUUGGUUCUUAAUAAAACAAAUAAGUAUAUUAUUUUUUAUUCUUUUUUCUUUAUUUUCAUAACACGUUAUCAAUAUAAAGUUCUAGCCAAUUAAGUUAGCAAAAAUAUUAUUUCUCUUUCUUCUUUCAAAUUUGUAGCCAGUUGAGGUAUAAAUUAUUUUCUUCAAUCGAAGAAAGAAAAGAAUUUCUAGCCAAUCGAGUUUACAAAGUGUUUGUUCAAUGAAAAGGUUUAUAUUCUCUUAACUUUAUAUUGUAUAACAAAGAGGUAUAGUUAUUCGAUCUGAUUACAUCGAUUUGACUAUACCAAUUUAUGGUAAAUAAAUAUUGACAUGAAUGUAAUAUUCUUUGUUCAAUAUUUCAGUACAAUAUUCUAGAAGAAAAUAGUAUUAUUGUUCUUGAAAAGGAAACAAUAUAAAUUGUUGUAAAUAUAAUAAUAUUUAUAAAUGACUUUUAUACCUCUGCAGUUCUAAUCAUUAUGACUAUUGUAUUCCUAGUAACCUUAAUUCUUUCUUAUAAAUAUGUGGCUUUGAUUCUUAAUAAAAUACACAAGUUUAGUGGUUUUUUCUCUUUUGUUCUCUAGUUUAUAACACGUUAUUAGUAUGAAUUUUCUUUUUAGCUUAAAGCACAAAUUAAAUUAAUCAAAUUUUAUAAAUGAUUUAUUGUUGGUAUGACAUUUUAUGUCCAUUCAUUACACUUAUUUUUUUCUACGCCUCCAAGUUUCUGGGGGUAGUAGCCAAUAGCUAUUGGCAGCACCUUCACAAGAAUCGACUAACAUGUCCUUCAUUAGCUUGCCACACAUUUGCACCUCCAAGUUUUCGAAGCUGAUUUCUCCUCGAUUGGAAACUACAAUUUUCUCAUCAUGUGAUGUACAUUAACUACUGUUCAACAUCAAAUCAAACACUUACAAUUGAUUAAUACAUUGACAGGUGCACAAUCAAUUUGGUUAUCAUAAUACAUUAUUAUUAUUACACACAAACGUCUCCAGUGAUUAUAGAAGUUGCAUGAUAACAUUAUACUAGACCAAUUUAUAUGCUAUUAUCUAAUAUAUUUAGCGUGUGCAUUAUAUACUCUUGUUCGAAGAUUUUAUUGUAGUAUAAAUUGAUUAAUUUUUCUUAGUUCUUCGGUAAACUUUAAAUUCAUAAUUUAUCAUAUUAUUGUUCUUGGAGUUGCAUACUAAUAUUAGUUUUCUAGUUAGAUUUCACUUGCUCAUGAAGCAUAGGCCUCUGCCUCAGGCCCAAGACCAUUAGGGGCCAAAAUUUGGCCCCCACAAUUUUUUUUUUUAUAAUAAGGUGAGCAGGCCUAAAAUAAGGUGUGCCGGCCCAAGACUAAUUAUCCAACAACAAAAUAACAUCCUUAAAUCCCACAACAAAACAACAUCCUUAAUACACGUUUGAAUUUUAUCGCUGAGGGGCCUAAUUUUCAUCGUUUGCCUCAGGGCCCAUCAAACACAGGACCGGCUCUAAGUAUAAUUAAAUAAAAUUUAACAUAAAUUAUGUUUACUACUGAAGAGUAAAUUUUUAUACAAUUUAUUAUCUCAAACAAAAAUAUGUUAUUGCAUUUGAAAAGCAUAACACUCCAAUUUCAAUACUUCAUAAGAAUGUUAUGUUAGCUAUUCGUAGAUCUGUCUAUUACAAAUAUUUUAUUGCUCCUAACAUAAAACAAUAGUAUAAUUAAUAUUUUAAAGAAUAUUAAUUGCUCCAGAAGAAUAUGAUAUUGCAAUUUCAAUAUUCUAGAAAAAUAUUGAUGUAUUGCUAUUGAAAAAAGAAAAAAAUAAAUAUAGCGUGCUCUCGAAAUAGCACACAUCUUGAAUAGUAUAUAUUUUAUUGUAUUCCUGAAGAAAUACAAAUUAAACAACUCAAUACUGAGUUAUAAUUUUGAAAGAAAAUUAAAUUUCUGUAUUAUUAAUAUUCAUGAAGAAUAUUAAUUUAUCGCUCUUGAAGAGUAUAGAUUAUAAUUUUAAAUAUUUCAAAAGAAUAUUCACAUAUUCUCUUGAAGAAACAAUAAUUAAAAAUAAUGCUCUCUUGAAGUAGCAUAUUUAGAAGAAUAUAUCAUUUUGAAAUUACGUUUAUCCCAAAAAGAAAAUAUAUAACUAAUAUCAUGAAAACAUUGAUUAGUUUGACUACUUGAAUGAUAUAUAGUUAUAUAAGCUUUAAGCAUAUUCUUCGAUAAUAAAUCAUUUAAUUAUAUCUUAUUUUGAACCAGAAGUUUAAUAUUUAUUGUUUAGCAUGAUCGAUAGGAUCAUCACUAGAUUAAUAAUGAUUCGAAAUUAAAAAUUAAAAUGGAUAUUCAAUGAAAAACUAAAAGAUUCUUCAUCAUAUACGAUGUUUGUUCUUUUUCAUAAAUUUUUUUCAUAAACCAUUAUUACUUAAAAUAGGGACUGAAUUCCCUAUACUUCGGAAAAUUAAUUAGGGUGAUAAAUGGGGCUCAUCAUCCUCCAUGUUGACCAUCUAAAUACUAUUUGUAUCUAAUAGAUUGAUACAUAUAUUAGAUGGUUGCAUGAUGUUUGCAACCUAAAAUUUGCAAAAUUACUGCUCAAAUUUUAAAUUAUGAGCAUAAUAUUCAGAUUAAAUAAUCAAUACAGUAUCUUGUUAAUGUUAAUGAGCAUAAAUAUCAAUAUUUUAAUGAGUGUUAGUUGGGAUGUCGAUGAAUGGUUUAGCACUAUUGUUUGUUAAAGGUUUCAAAUUAAUUUAAUUGAAAACAAAAUACUUUCCAUUUUUCGUUUAGGGAAUUCUAUUACGUAUCAUACAAACAUUAUAGUUCUCUCUAUUAUAAUUGGCUUAUGAUUAGAGCAAAAUUUUUUUAUUUAAUUAUUUUGAUAGUGCAACAUAUGUAAUAUUGAUCAACCACAAUGUACGAGAUGACAUAAAUACGUAGUUUGAACACUUGUCCCAAAUGGGUGAUAUUUUAUAACGCCGAAAAAAUGAUUAUCAAUUUGAUUGGACAAUUCUCUCAGCAUUGGGAAAGGAAUUAAGAAGUUGAAAAUAAGGUAAAAAUGCAUCAUAUUAUCUAAAUCCUUGCAAAAAAUCACUCGUACCAGAAGAUUGAAAGAUAUUUUAUUUAGAUACAUUUACUGAACGAAGAGAUCAAUAAUAUCUCAUGGACUAAUUAAUUUUAAGUGCUCCAAUACAAAUUGAUGACCUAAGAGAAAAAUUUGACAGCAUUAUGUUUGAUAUAUCUAUGGCACGUCUGAAGCGUGAUGAUAUUCGAUUCUAAUACAAAAAAUCUUAUGCGAAAUGAAAAUCGUAAAAUAAAAUGUACAUUUUUUACAUAAUAAAUAUCGCGAAAAUUUGUAUAAAUAGUAAGUAUGUGGUGGAUGUAAUAACAUGUCUCUACCUUGUUAGGCUGACAGUGCAUAAAAUUUGAUGUGCAUGUUGUAAAUAUGAUUAUAGACAAUUAUCUUGUAUAGUUUUAAUACUAUUUAUGAAGGAUUUAAUAUGCUUGAAAUAUAAUUCAAGUGAUAUUAUCAUGAAAGGAAGUAAAUACACGUCGUACUCUUUUUGCCUUAACCAAGGUUUUGUCCCAUUAAGUUUUUCUGACAGUUUUAAUGAGACAAUUUUUGUAGUUUAUUCAAAAAAAAGUAAUGUACUCUUUUUCUUUUAUUAGGAUUUUUUCCACAGGGUUUUUUAAAAUAGGCUUUAAUGGGGCAUAUUCUUUGUGUAAUAAAUGUCUAUAAUAUGCAAGACAUUCACCCUCGAAAUAAUACUAUGAUAAACAUGAGAUUCUUGAAGAGAUCAACAAGAACCAUUUUUUGAAUAAUCAUAUUACCACAGUUAUCAAAGAUUGAUAAACUAUCACGUAUGAAAACGAAGUUAUAUGAAGACAUUGACGUAAAAGAUAUCAAUAUUGAAGAUAUUGACAUACAAGACAUAUAAAUUACUUUUUUGUCCCACCGGACUUUUUUGCCAAACAAUAUUUUAAUAAGAUAGUUAUUCUGUAAUUAAAUAUUCAUUUAAGGAGAAAUGUUGCAAAUAUAGUAGAUUUACUAAUGCCUUUUAUAUUGACCUAUGGUUGAUUUUACCUGUUGAUUAUAACAAUCAAAUUGCUUUUAUUUUUAACAAUUGAAUUCGAGUCGUUAUACUGUUGUGGCAAAGUUGAUCAAUUGAAGAAAAAAGGUUGGUAUCAAAAGACUCACAAAUUGACACCCAAUCGAGAUGAAAGCCGAGCAUGGACUCCAAAUCUAUCAAGGCGAGUACCUCAUCAAGUCGAAUAUUGAAGAUAUUAGACUUAGAUAUUUUGAAUUCAUAUGUAAAGGUAAAAUGCUCUAAUUGUUAGCAAUGAAUCAUUAAAAGCUCAAGAUAAAAUCUUUAUGCACGAGAGAAAUUAUUUCAUAAUGAUACUCGCAUAAAAAUUAUUAUCUCAAAAGGUAAGAACUUCAACUCGAUAUUUUUAAAUCUCUAAGCAAAUGUUUCUUACCUUGAAAAAUUAAGUAAAAACAUCCUUCAAAAAUCUACACUUUUCAAAGCAUCAAAGAAAGAAAAAUCGAGAAAAACACUGUCCAAGCGGACUUCCAGUUCAUCCAACGGUCGAAUUUUUUAACCGUUCUAAAAUUUUGACGCACAAUGACAAGUUCAGUGUCCUGUUCAGAAGCGGACGUCGGGUUGGUGAGAACUUUUGGCGUUUUAACUGCUAUAAAUAUCACCUCACUUUGCAUUCUUCAUAAGACUUUAAGGACAUUAAAGUGAGAUACUUUUGAACAAAAUUAUCACAUUCUUUGUUUAUCUUUAUCAAAUCAAAUAAUUUAUUUUGAAAAAAUUUUGAUUGAAUUAACUUUUGAAAAUCAUUCUUCUCAUCAAAGUUUUUUUUUAGCAAACACUUAAGCUUCGUUUAUUGCUAUUCAUUAAAGUGUUAGCCCACUUCUCUUUUGGUACUUAGCCCCCUUUCUUUCAAAUUUUAAUGUUUGAAAUAGUAUUUUUUGGAGAAUGUGUGAUUGAAAAAGUAAGAAAUUUUUUUGGUUUAUGUAUAAUAUUAUUUUAUAGAAGAUUGUGUAGGUGAAAAUAAGAGUAAGAAGAAAAAUUGAAAGAAAAUGGGUACCUAAAGGGGCUUAAUUUUAAUUAUAUCAUUUAUUAAAAGAGAGUUCAAAUGUUAUACUCAUUACUCCUUGAAUUUAUGGUCAUAUAGAGGUCUCGUAAAUAUAUAUUAUAUAAGGAUUGGUGCUUCUUGGUUGUAAGUCACCGAAAACAUUGUAAAAGGUUAGAUUGUACCAUAAGUCAAUCAUUAUGGCGAAAAAGACCUUGUUCGUGACGGAGAACUUGAUAAUGGAGACCAUAGACCAUUGUUUGAGAUCAAACCUCCACAAUUACAUCGUUUGUGCACUCUCUUUCCUUAUACUUAUUGCGUUCGUAUUUGUGCAUAUUCGUUUGAUUAACUUAUUUGCUAUCAAAUUUGUUUAAAUUUAGAUUUAUUUUCGAAAAGGUUUUCAACAAUUAAUUCACCCCCUCUUGGUUAGUUAUUCUUGGCAUAUGAAUUGAUAUCAGAGUCGGGUACUUAUUUUCAAAGAUUUCACAAUCUUGAUUAAUGGUUAACCCUAAUCUUCAAAAUCUUGAAGGGCAUUCUACAAACGACCUCCUUUCUUUGAUGACACACAUUAUAAUUAUUGAAAAGUUAGAAUGAUGAUUUAUAUUCAAUCAAUAGAUUAUAAUAUUUGGAAAGUUAUUGAAUAUGGUCCUCAUGUGUCUACUAAGACUAUUAUAGUCGAUGGUAAAUUCGAUCAAACUAUUCUUAAACCUAGAGAGCAAUAUGAUAAAGAUGAUAAAAGAAAAUUAUCCUUAAAUGCUAGAGCAAAAAACCUACUUUGUUGUGCAUUAAAUAGAAAUGAAUUUAAUCAUAUUAGCACAUGUGAUUCCGCAUAUAACAUUUGGCAUUCAUUAGAAGUUACCCAUGUUGGUACUAGUAAAGAAAUGGAAACCAAAAUUAAUCUCUUGGUUAUAGAAUUUGAAAACUUCUUUAUGAAAAAAAAUAAACCUACUGUUGAUAUGAUUACUGCUUUACCGAUAUUGUUAGUGGACUUAAAGGAUCUUAUCACAAAUUUAUUAACGUUGGGCUUGUGAUUAAAAUUCUUAGGUCACUAUAGGAAGAAUGGAGCUCAUUAAGGAUGUUGAUAGAAAACGCCAAAGAUAUCAACUCAUGUCUUUUGGAAAAACUAUAUGGAACCUUGAUGACUUACGGGCUUAACAACUCUAAAACCAAGGAGAAAACAAAGAAAAGCAAAGAAGAAUCAAGGGAAUUUUCUAAGCGCUAAAUCGCCCUUAAAUCGAAAAUUGAAGAAUGAACCACAAGUGAAAAUAUGAAUGACGAAGAGCUCAAUGAUCUAGUCCUUCUUGUCAAGAAAUGGAGAGGUCUUCGAAAUAAUUGGAGAUUCCAAAAGAAAUAAGAAAAGGGUGAAGAAUGAAGUAAGAAAAUUAUUUGAUAUGAUUGUGACCAACCUUGUCACAAGAGAACCGAGUGCCCAAACAAGAAGAAGAGCAUCAAGAAAAAAGGCACACUAAGCCAUAUGGGAUGAGAGAGAUGAUGAUGAUGAUCACGAUGGAAAUGAUAAUCAAGAAGAAAUAACCAAAAUAUGCUUCAUGGCGAUUGAAGAUGAGGAAAAUUCUAUUAAAAAAUGUUCAUAUGAUGAAUUAUCUACCUCCUAUAAUGAAAUUCUCGAGAAAUUUUACUAAGCUUAAAAGACGAUACAUGGUUGUGUUAUUGGAGAUUAGGUAAUGUUAACAUGGAUCUUCUUUCAAAAAAUUUCAAAAAUCAUUUCGUCAAAUGAUUGUCAAAUUUAAAGUUUGAUAAAGAUAAAAUUUGUGAUGCAAGUCAAUUUGGUAAACAAGUGAAAAGCUCAUUCAAACCCAAGCGAAAUUCUUAAACUACAAAACCACUCUAACUACUCUACAUUGAACUUUUUUACCCUUUAGAACCGCUAGCUUGGAUAAAAAAUAUCAUGCGUUUGUCAUUAUUAAUGAUUUCUCUAGAUUCACUUGGGUUCUAUUUCUAAAUGUUAAAGAUGAAGCUUUAAAUGCAUUCAAACACUUUUGCAAAAAAAUAAAAAAUAAAAAAAGUCCAAAAUAAAAAUGGACAUUCCAUUACAACUAUUAGUAAUGAUCAUGGAGGAGAAUUUGACAACAUUGCUUUUGACAAUUUUUGCAAUGAAAAUGGAUAUGAACAUAUUUUUUCGGCUCCUAGAAAUCCUCAACAAAAUUGUGUAGUAGGAAAAAAAAUUGCAAAUUGCAAAAAAUGGCUAGGACCAUGAUUAAUGAAAAUAGUAUGCCAAAAUAUUUUUGGGCAGAAACCAUUAACACCGCUUGCUAUAUUGUAAAUAAAGUUAUAGUAAGUUGGAAGAAAACUAAAACCCCUUAUGAGCUUUAGAAAAAUAUAACUCUAAAUAUCGGUUAUUUCAAGGUUUUUUGCUGCAAAUGCUUUAUCUUGAACACACACACACACACACACACAAAAUUAGAAAAUUUUGAUUCAAUAUCCGAUUGAUUAUGGAAUCUUUCUAGGAUGUUCAUCGACUAGCAAAGUUUAUACAGUCUCUAACAAAAGAACUCUAGUUGAAGAACCCAUGCAUGUUACUUUUAAUAAAACUAAUCCUCUUGAUCGUGAGAAAUGUAUUGGUAAUGAUGUAAGCUUGAAAGUUCCUCUCGGACUAUUCAAGAUCAAAUCAAUGAGGAUCCAAAUGAUGAAUACAAGGAAGAAACAAACGUUCAACAAAAUGGAGAAGAACCUACCUAAGUACCAAGUGAUCAUUCUCUACCAAAAGAUUGGAGGUUCGUUUCUUCUCAUCUAAAAGAAUUAAUUAUUGGUAUACUUGUGUGUGUGUAAUUCUUUUUGUUUACUAUUUGGAUUUCGAAGAUUUGUAUUUGAAGCUAAAAAGACUAUAGUUUGACCUAAACAACACCUAGAGGGGGGGUGAAUAGGUGUUUAUGCAGAUUUUAACAAUUCAAUCAACUUAUGCAACAAGUCACAUAAAUUAAACUUUGUCCAGAUUCAUUCACAUGAUUUAACUACCUAUGUUGAAUUUCCAAUUGAAUUAAAAAAGAUAGAAAGCAAUAAAUAACUCAACAAAUUGUUGACGGAGAAAAUCCAACUGGGUAAAAACUCCAGGCACAAGCUAGAAGGGAUUCACUAUAGAAAACUUCAACUUACAGUACGCCAGACAUGACUGUAUCUAACAACACUCUGACCUCCUUACUAUAUCAACAAAAGCUCUCCUAGAUUCUGUAGUUCUACGCCAAAAUCCCAGCCUUGUUCUUCUUCUAUUUCCCGUGAAUCAGCAAGAACUCCAGUUCUUCAAUCAAUCUCCUUCCUGGAUCUUCAAUCAGUCGAUCUUCUGGAAGUAGUGAGGAUUUUUGAAAAGUGUUUUGUUUUAAGAGGUGUUUGAUAUUUUUUCUUCAAUAAGACAUAUGAUGAAAAGAAGGAAUUAUGAAGUUGAUCCUUUGGUUGAGAGGAAAAAUCUUUCAAUUGUGUUUUUCCAAAGAUUGUGUAUGAAAAACGGGACUUUUGAAUAUAUAUGAGGUCGUUUUUGAUAGUAUGCAGCGUCUAAAAAUUGCAAGGAAGGAAAAUUACCAAAAGCCGAAUAGCACUGUCGCUCGAGCGAAGUGCCGACGAAACUCUAGCGACGCACUUUCGCUGGAGCGAAGCAGUGGCGAAACUCUAGCGAGAUAGGUUCUGUUAUUUAGGUUCGAGCGAGGUCAGGGCGAAACUCUAGCGUGAUCUUGCACCGUUUUCAUUUUCAAGGCACCCAACUUUAGCCUAUACCUAUACCAUAUUUUUUGCUAAAUUGCAACACAAGUCCCUGAACUUUUAGACAUUUACAAAUCAGUCCUUGACUUUACAAACUUGACAAAUUGGUCCUUUUGGUCACAGAUUGUCAAUUACAACAUUUUCCUAACAGAAGCAUUUUUGUGCUUACGAUUUUCUUGUUGCUAUGUUCAAAAUUAGCACGUUGGACAUUAAGAGAGUAGAAGCAGCUAAAGUCAUUCUUGUCACUGGAAUUAUGACUAUUCCUUUUUUGGGGGAGGACUCUGGUGUUGGAGUAUCAUUUGCUGCCUCUGGUAAUUUGUUUUGUUUGAGAUUUUGGCAGAAUAAAUGCCUACCAAAUUGCAUGAUACUGUAAAACUUGCUAAAAUGUAACAGUUUAUAAACAUUAAAGUUAGGGAUCCAAUUUUUUCUAUACAUUCUUUAGUUGAUAAUUUUUAUGGAACAAAAAUUAUGAUGAAAAAUUAAUCAUUGGUUCUUGACAAAGUAGGUUCUCUCAAGAUAGUAGCAAAGAGUAUAUAAUACUUUGAGUAAUGUUACUCAAAAUAUACAAGAAUGAUGUUGUAUAUAGUACAAAGAUCUUUCCAUUAAUCAAAAGACAGAAGAUUUUGGUGCAAAAUAUGAACAGGAAGCAUAUUAUUUUACUUAUUUUAUGCACAAGUUGCUAUGAUCACUUCAUUAGCAGAAAAGAGACCUAAUGUUGCAAUAAGAAACACGAAUAUCAAUCCAGAAAUCCGAAGAAAAACCAUUUUUUAUCCAAUAGGUGAACUUUGAAGACAUGCCAAAAGAAUGCAAUUUAGAAAACUUAUGGAUAUUGUAAGUGGGAAUGUCAUUUGAAUGAUUGGCUUGUGAAAUUUAGAAAUUAUUGCAAAUGCAUCGUCCAUUGCAAAUGAGCUUAUUUUGAUGGAUUUCUGACCUCCAAAUUAGCUUACACAAUGCUAGUUCCGAGGUAAUACUAUUAAAGUAGCGCUUGAUAGUAUCCACCGAGCGUACCUAAUGGAGCAAAAUUAUAUCAGCAUUUGAUUCAGCUGAUCGGUUUGAAAACGUACUGAUAUCUAAAUUCUUUUUGUUUCCUUUUUCUUCUUUUUAUCUUGUACAAAUGUCUUAUGUUUUUUACUUGACAGUUAAUUUGUUUUCUUGAUACAGCCUAUUGUGGCUGUGCCUUCACUUAUAUGUGCUGAUGCGUUCAACAAGUUCUUGUCAUGUGCUGAUGGAUUUGCUGCUGGGUGCAUAAUUUAGAUGGUAAAGUUCAAUGGACUUUUAGCAUCAAAAUUAGGAAACGACAAAGGAAAACCUGUCCAUUGAAUGAUUUACGGUGUUUUUUUCUUUUUAAACACUAUGAAAUGUAGAUAGCAGAGAAGUUAGAUGAGUUGGGUUUGAUCAGAUUGAUCAUAUGAACUUCAUCGUGAUUUUAUUUUUUAAACACUAUGAAAUGUAGAUAGCAGAGAAGUUGUGAUUUUUUUUUUCUUUUUGGGAAAUGUAUUGGAUUUUAGGUAUGUCAAAAAUUUGGAUCUUGAUUUUGUAUGGAUAUUGUUACAUUUUUGGAGUCAAUUAAAAAUGAUUAUUGGAGUCGUUUGAUAUUGUUAUCUUCUAUUUUAUUUUGUGGUUGAUUUGUAUAAAUCGCUCUGCAAAUAAAAAAAAAAUACAAAAUUUUUAAAAAAACGUAAAAUUACCUGCAAUAACGAUCAACAAAAUGUUGAAAAAAAUAAGGAUGUAAUCAUAGACAAUAAAGCAAAAAACAUUACAAAAAAGUUAUUACCAACGCUGAAAAAAUGUUGCAAAGAUUAUUCGCAACACUUAAAAACAUUACAAAAAAGUUAUUCACAAUGUUUAAAAAAGUUGCAAAAAAAUUAAUCGCAACAUUUAAAGAAACGUAGCAAAAAGGUUAUCCGCAACAUUAAAAAAAUGUUAUUAGCAAUGCUCAAAAAACACUGUAAAAAUGUUAUGAGCAAUAGGGAUGGCAAAAACAUCAGUCAAAUCGGAUAUCCGUGGGCCCUGCCCCGAAUAUCUGAUUAAGUGGUAACGAUGCGGGGAUUUCGCCUCGAGGUGGGUACGGGUAACACUUGUCCCACCCUACCUCGUUAAUUUUUUAUUUUUAUUUUUUUUUAAGAAUUCAAUACUUUAAAUGGAAAACUCCACGAAAUUUGAUUAAUUCUAAUAGAAGAUGGCAACUAAGAUAAUUUAAGGAAUAUAAUAAGCAAUAAAAACCUUAGUUUAUCAAAUAUAUUUGAACAAUUUAACUAUUAAAAAUAAACAAAUUAGUUAAAAAAAUUAAUAACUAUAUUAUUAUCUCGCUUUAAUGAAUGGAUGCAAUAAAAUGAAUUAUCAAAAACUUUAAAAAAAGGGAUACAUAAACAAGUAAAGACCCCUCCCUGCCCCGUCCCGCCUCGCUCCACCUUAAAUAGGUAACGAGGCGGGAAAAUGCCCGAUGAGGUGGGAAAACUUGCCCCGCCCCACCCUCACUCCAUUGUCAUCCCUAAUUAGCAACGCUUAGAAAAUGCUACAAAAAAUUAUUCGCAGCAUUAAAAAAAUGUUGUAAAAAUAUUAUUGGCAAUAUUCAAAAAGUGUUACUGUAUCCUUUUAAUCUACGACAAUAUCAAAAAUUGCAACAUACAUUCGAACGUUGCAACUCUGUAUAAUUCAAUUAGGAAUACAAUAGAAAUUUCAAAGAAAAGAGCAAAAGAUAAACAAUAUGGUGCUGUUUACCAAUUUUAAUCGUUGUUUAUUCUAUUAGUUAAUAUUCUUAAAUUGCAGGUUUUAUGUCAAAAUUUAGGAGCAACUAUUUCCAUGCAAGGGUUCCGUUUAUCCUUUUCGAACUUUUGCAAGUUGCCAGUACAGUUGGUCAAGGAACAAUGACAGGUCCCGAAAACGAUGAUGAUUUUUCCACUCUUAAGUCUAUAAAGGAAAUUAUAGAAUCUUGAAUACUUAGUUUAGAAUCCCAGGGGUGGGGUGGGGGCUCAUUGUUUACUGGCAAAGGCUGUGAAAAAUAUUCUGAACAUAUAUUGUCAUCAUAACUGUGCUAGUGUUGAGUUGUUUUCUUUCUUUGCUUCUGAUCUUCACCAAAAGUAUGCAAUUUAAGAUUUUUUGAGUUGUACAUGCACACAAAUUUGUAUGGGUUACAUGAGCUCUAAUUUCUAAGAGCUUUCAUCGUUGUAAGACAUCAUUUCUAAGAGCUUUUAUCGGGAUGAUUUCGAAUGAUCCUGCUAACUACUUUGGUAGCCUUUGUGGUUACUGAUACGAAAAAAUAAUUUUCAUCUAGUGAUUACUGCAUUCUAGUAAUUUUUUGGUAUCUUGUUUUACUUGAUCUUAGAUAAUGACCUUGCAAUUCUAGUAAUGUUUUAAACGGAGUAUUCAAAGUUGAAAUCGGAUGUAAUCUCUCUAAUUAUAAUUAAUCUCUAUGAAAUAAUCUUUCAAGUGUCUAACAGGAUUUACUGCUUUUGUUUUGUUAUUAAUGUGAUGUCAAAAAUAUACAGACUAGAAUAUGAUUAUUCGGAUACAUUACUCUCCACGCCUUCAACUCGAAUCAAGCGAUUACUAGAACCACUUCUGUGCUAUAAAAGAAAUCCACGUUGGGGCUUAACCUCAAUGGACAAUACAAUACAUAUUUGGAUUGAAUCCCAAAUAGACCAUGACUUUUGUACCUAGGUUUCAAGAACACUAACGUUAGCCAUUUCAACUGCAAUCAUCUAUAGGAUCUUAGAAGAUUAAGGGACCACAUUCGAUGAUUUUUUUUUUUCCCCUAGUUUUUGUCUUGACUACUAAACAAUCUUCUUUUGAUGUGUUCCUAGUAGCUUUCACAAAGAAGUAAUUAAUUAUAGUGUGUGCUCUUAGUCAUUCUCUUAAUUGAUAAUAUCUUAAGCAAGAGAAUUAUCAUUAUUAAAGCACUUGUCAAUUUAAGAGGGUGUAUAUUUUGUUGGAUUUUAAAAUAUUAUAAAUUCAAAAUAGAUUUUUACAAAAUUCAUAAGCAUCUUAUUAAAAAUUAUGAAAUUUGAAAAGAGUUUGUUAUACCCCUAUUUGGUAGUGAUUAAAAUUCAAAUUUUAAUCUCAGUUCACGUCAUUAGAUUUUAUUUAAAUGAACACAAAUGAAAAUUCUCAAUUCAAGUCAUUAAUUUUUAUUUUUUAUUUUCCAUAUUUUGUCAACUUAUUUUAUUUUUAUUUUGUAAUAGGAAAGAUUCACAAAUUUUAAAAUAUAUAUAUACACUUUGAACAACAUUCUUUUUAAAGAAUGUAUUUUGAAAUAGUAGAUUGACAAAGAAUGUGUUAUUAAAAAAGAAUGAAAAGUUUUUUAUUUGCAUGUAACGAAGAAUAUACAGUUGAAAAUAAGAGAGGAAAAAUGUAUUUUGAAGAAAAUGGAAAUCAAAUAUUCCCAUAUUACCAUAAAAUUAUUUAUUUUCCUAGAUAAUUAAAUUUCAUGAAACAAAAUAUCAUAGAAUAAUUUCUAAAAAUUUUAAGCCAAAUGUGUUCUUUAAUUUUCUGUUUUAAGAAACGAUUAUUCAAAAUAACAAACCAAUUGCAUUCGGUGACCUUAAAUUGGACACUCAAAAUAGAAAAACUAAAAAUGAACCAAAUUAAAACAAAAAAAUAAAAAAAAAAUGAAAUGCAAUCCAAAAUUAACUGUAUUUAAGUUUACUUCAUUUUACAACUCAAAUCCGAUAAAAUUCGUUACAGGAAGUCUAAUCAAAGCAGACAAUAAGAAGAUCAGAAGUUAAUGAUAACCCAGAUCUUGAAAGGCCAAGAGGCUAUCUAUCAAGAUCCACAAUUCGAGUUUAUAAUCUCGAUAGACUAUCUAGCAUUCUUUUCAUAGUACGAGGAAAAUCUCAAUAAGAAAUAUUCGUCGUCAAUCAAGGACAUUGUAAAAAAUUAUUGACAUGUGACAUUUUACAAAGAGUUCAAUUUGACGAUGAAAAUAUCAAGCACAAGCCCACAAAUUUAUUCGAAGCAAAAUACACAAACAAGCAAAUAACGAAAAGAGGAUUUUGAACCGGCUACUCCGGUCCAAUUCUUAAUAACAUAGAUUCAUACAUUGUAAUCCAUUUUUGAUCGAACAACAUCACCAGAAAAUCAUGGCGAACUUUUAGCAAAGUUCUGAUGAGCUCUAAGAUUCCAGAAAUAGCCUUUGGGAUCGUUCUCAAAUUCACUUCUCGGCAUCCUUAAAUUUCUCCCCGGCGCUUUCAUCAUCCUCACUCUUCCACCGCCGCGGCCCUUACAGCAGCCGCAGCAGCAGCGGCAGAAACAGACGAACAAGAUCAAUGCCGCGGCAAUAACAAGGAACGGGGUGGCGACAUGGAGCCAGUGGUGGAUCUUAUCGCCUCGUCUCCAGUGGGAACACCUUGUCAAACCAAUCCACGACCUCGCUACCAAAAUUUUCAAUUGCCAGUGGUAAUUCCUUCAACUUUUCUACAAUGAAGUUCACACCCAUCUCUGUAGGUUGUAGUGUGUGUCGAGGUGCUUUUGAUGCUUUGGAGAGAAA
rnacentral:lncRNA from 1 species